GUAGCUCAUGUGACUGCAAGACAUGCAACGUGAUCAAAUAACCUAACUAUGAUAUCAAGAUGAAAUAGUAAUAUGAGGUUCAUAUAUCCAAUACUAGUCGAUCAGUCGGUGACGGAUGGAGUGACCUAAUUCACAAGUUGUGUUCCAUUCUUCUACAAAAAAAAAAAAAAAAUCUAUUUUUUCAACAGAUGCAAUUAGGGUAAAUGCAAAGAUCGAUCAUGUUCCUUGAAAAAAAAUAUAUUUCUCAAACAAUGACUAAUUGAGGAGAGAAUUAGGUGCAGAUUUGAUAAGUAUCGGAUACAUUAUCAGUACCACGAGUUCAUGAUAACUGUGUCUGAGUGGAACAUAUAAUUCAGAAUUAGGGUUCAAACAUUCAAUAAUUCUAUUUUUGGAAGAUAAUGAAGGCAUUUAUGCAUUAUGUUGCACUGCUUAGUUUGUGCCCACCCGCACCCCACCCCACCCCACCCCACCCCACCCCAUCUCGUUAUUGAUAUUUGAUAUAUAAUAAAGAUAUACAAUCUUGAUAAUACAAAUUGUAGGAUAAAUUGCUUAGCCUCUAUAGGCAUUAUGUGCUUAAGGAAAUCGUGAACGAGACUUAUAGCAUCUUUUAACGAUGCUAGUCAUUUUGUAGUCAAAUUUUGGCUAGCCACUUUAAAAGUACAUUUACACCAGUACUUUAUAUUUCAACUAAAGUUUGAUUUACAUUAUUUAUUAGAUAAAGAAAAAUUAAUUUAAAUGUGUCUUAAUAUUACAUAAAAUGACUUAAAAAGAAUACUUUGAAUUAACAUAAAUUAUAGAGAGCCUCAUCUUGCUAGUUAUAUUUAGAGAGCAAGAUAGCUAGAAGUUAAAAUAGUUAGCCACUUGGAGCAUCUUUAGUAAUGCUAGCCAUUUUUAAGUUAAAUUUUAGUCAAAUUAGCUAAAAAGUCAUUUUGGUUAGCCACUUUAGAAAUGCGGAUGCAUCAAUGCUCUUUAUUUUAGCUAGCAUUACAUCAACAUUAUUAUUCAAAUAAAGAUUAAAUAGUUUAAAUAUAUUUAUAUAUCACGUAAAAUAUCUUAUAAGGAAUGUAUUAAAUUAUAGCUAGCCUCAUCUGAGUCAUCUCGCUCUCUAUAUUUAGCUAGCGAGAUAGCUAAAAGCCAUAAUAGCUAAAUUUUGGCUAGUCUGAUAGAGCUCCGAAAAUAUUAAAAAAAACUAAACAUGGUCUCUAAAAUAGUUGAAUGCUAAAAUAAAAAGUAUGCUAAAGUUGCUUUUACUAGUCUGCUGGAGCUGAUCAAAUUGAUAAAAAACUAAACUUUCUCUUUAAAAUGGCUAAGGAGCUAAUAUAGAGAAUCUGUUAAAAAUACUCUUAGAAUUUGGGUCAUGUGCCUCAAAAUAAAAUAUGAAGAUAAUCGAGAUUUUGGAGGGCUAUGUGGAGCAAAUAAUUAUGAUUAAGAUAUAUAUUGACUACUUGAAUGAAAAUAGAAAAUGACCACAAGGCGCGCAUAUUUAUUAUAUAUUACAAAAUCACGACUGAUCAUCAAGGGAAAUGAAGUUGUUAACUUGACAAAAUCAGGACUUCAAAUUUCAUUAUAUACUACAAAAUUGUAAUUUUUUCAACAAAAUUAUAAAUAUAUGGAGAAAAAAUUGUCAACAUGAAGAACAAAUGUAAACGUUAAGCAUGUGAAGAUAUGAAAUUUAAUAUAUUAAAUAUAUAAAUACUUUAAUGAACGAUUUAGCUACCAAAAAUACUAGCUAGUGUCUAACAUGAAAGAUGAAAUUGAAUUAAAAUUAACUGUACGUGUUGCGAAGUAUAUCUAACAAAUUAUCCAAGCAUGUUGAUUUGGACCUGUUUUUGACUAAAUGGUUAAUUAUUUUCCAAAGAUAUAACAAUGCCAGGUAAACUGAAACAGAAACCUAGUUAACACAAAACAACUACUAACUGAUCGAGGCCAGGGAAGCCUCAACUAAUUAGAGGCAUGCAGGUCAGAUUACACCGCAUUUGUGUCUAAAAAGAGUUGCACAAAAACUGAAUACUGUAAGACUGGCCCUUUAAAUAAAUCAAAACUUUCAAACCCUCCUCUCAGGCAAAGCCAAACUUGCACGUACAUCUGGUUUUCUCGAUCAUUUACAGUUUUACACUCUGUUCAUCUCGCCGGACGUAAAAAUGGUGCACACAGACGCCAUCAGAACUAUCGUCGGGAUCAUUGGUCUGUAAUUUCUUUUUCGCAUAAGUUUUCUCUCUCUUUCUCUUUUAUAUUUCUUAAGUUUGAUUCUAGUCUAGUUAUCAUGUUCAAUUUGCUUAUCUUUCUUACCUUUCCUUGUAGGUAAUAUCAUUUCCUUCGGCUUGUUUACAUCCCCAAUGUAAGCGCUCUCUUCAAUCUCUCUGUAUAUAUAUACAAAUAGUUAACGUUCACAGAUAUAAAUUAUUAACAAAACAAGCGUGACCAUUAUAUUACAAGUUAUCAAUCUAAUUUGCUUGUAGAUGUUACUUUUAUUAUUUAUAUGUCAAAAAACUGCAUGAAUUCGUUAAUUGAAAAUGUCGAUUUCUCUUUAUGAAAUGAAAACUUGAAGUUUGAGCAGAAUAUGAACUGCAUGUAAUACCCUUAAGACUAGAACGUACAAAAUCAAAAUCAAAACAUCUAAACUGACACUUUUUCCUGCUUCUUCUAAUCACCAACAAUAUGGGAAUUGCACGAGUACGAGCUAGUAGUGCACCUUGAUUAUUUUCGCAUAUAUCUUCUGUAUUAUUUUCUCUCCUCUCUAGCUAUAUUUUUUCUGAGACUGUAUACUUUGAGAAUUUUGCAGUCCAACAUUUGUAAAGAUAAUCAAGGACAAAUCGGUAGGAGAUUUCAAAUCGGAUCCUUAUGCAGCAACUUUGCUUAAUUGUGCUAUGUGGUCAUUUUAUGGCCUUCCCAUUGUCCAUCCCGACAGUCUGCUCGUUGUUACUAUCAAUGGCACUGGCUUUUUCAUCGAACUCAUCUAUGUUUCAAUCUUUCUCAUAUAUUCUCCUCCCCAGAAACGCGUAAGUAAAUCCUAGACUACUGCUUAUUUAGGGUUUAAUGGUUUAUGCACACAUGACACAGUGGUUAAUAACAUGCAUUUCUAUUCUUUUGUUCUUUCUUUUUCAGCGAAAAAUUAUCAGUGCUCUCCUGGUUGAAGCAAUCUUUUUUGCUGUUGUGGCUUUUAUUACCAUUUACGUUUACCAUACAACUAAAGAAAGGACAAUGAUCAUUGGAAUCUUGUCUAUUGUCUUCAAUAUCAUCAUGUAUGCAUCACCCUUAACAGUCAUGGUAAGUAGGGCGACUUCUAAAUAGUUCUAAUCUCUAUUGCUUUCUUUUUUCUCUCACAGUACUACGUCGACCCUUUCUUACAUAUGUUUUCUAAAUAUGUUGAACUAACUUUUGCAUUUUUCUUUUGCUGCUGGUAGAAAAUGGUAAUCAAGACAAAAAGUGUCAAGUACAUGCCAUUUGCCCUCUCACUCGCCAACUUUUGCAAUGGAAUUAUCUGGUCUGUUUAUGCACUCCUCAAGUUUGAUCCCUAUAUUCUGGUAAUUUUCUAACAGAAUUAGUAUAUAUGCUCUUUAGAUAAUUAAUAUGCAUGAAAGAAAAAGUCAUGGGAAGCCUCAUAUCCAUGCCAGGUUCGAACAUGUCAUGCUACUUGGAGUUAAAAUUUAAUUUAUUCUUAUGGCCAAAAGGAGAAAGUGUUUAGACAUGAUCUGACACAAGUUAGUCUCAGAGCCUAAAAAGCUUAUAAGAAAACCGUCUGAUUUCGACCAAAAAAAAUUGUAUCUUUUUCUCCGGAAAAAGUUGCCGGUCCAAUAAGGUUUCCAAUAAGAACUUCCGAGCCAUACCUAAUGUAAAAUUUGCUAUUAGAGGCUCAUACCCAUGAGCUUACUGACCCAUGCAACAACUUCUGCCAUCAUAUAGGAACAAUAUUAAGUAACAAAGAAAACAUUGAUAAUAAGUUUCAAGAAUACUAACCAUUUUCUUUGAAAAAUCUCGGCAGAUUCCUAAUGGUUUGGGCUCGCUUUCGGGACUGGUGCAACUCAUCUUGUAUGGCACUUUCUACAGAACCACUAACUGGCAUGAUAACGAAGAAAAGCCAAAACCUGAAGUUGAACUCCCUAAAGUUUAGAGAGAUCAUCCCAAGUGAUUAUGACAAUGUUUGAUGACUUUGAUCUGGUCAAGAGAUGGUGAUCAUGAAUAGUAUCGUGUUCUUAUUUAUUCUGAGAGCCAUUCAAAUGUAUUCUCACCAGCUACUAAUAUGAUUAGUAGUUCAUGUGAUUAUGAUCAGAAUUAUGAUGGUACUGUAACUUUUUUUUUUUGGUUAAACCUCGAUGAAACGAGAGUAAUUUAUUGAAAGAAAAAAGAUGAAUACACCAUAGUAGGAGGGACCUAACUCCACUCCUAUAAAAAAAAAACAAACAUAUAACUCACAACAAAACAGUAAAAGUUAACAGAAACGAAAGGUGGGAAGCCCCAACUAAUCGUUAUUACAAAGAUAAAUAACAAAAUUUGAGGACAAGUCCCACCACGUUAAACUUGAAGACUUUAUCCCUUCAUGGUACUAAACUUAAACAAGCAUAUAUUUUUGGUCGAGUUUGUAUCAUAUUACCUUAGAGCAUCUUUAGCAAUACUAGCUAUAUUUGAGUUAAAUUUUCGUCAAAUUAGCUAAAAUAUUAUUUUGGUUAGCCACUUUAGAAAUGUGUAUCAAUGCUCUCUAUUUUAGCUAGCAUUACAUUAAUAUUAUUCUUCAAAUAAAUAUUAAAUAGUUUAAAUGUAUUUAUAUAUCACCUAAAAUAUCUUAAAAGAAUGUAAUAAAUUAUAGCUAGUCUCAUUUGAGUUAUCUCGCUAGCUAAAUAUAGUUAGCGAGAUAGCUAAAAGUUAUAAUAGUUUAAGUUUGACUAGUUUGUUGGAGCUCCUAAAACAUCUAAAAAAGCUAAACACGCUCUCUAAAAUAGCUAAAAGUUAAAAUAGAGAGUGUUAAAGUUACUUUUACUGUAUUAAUUUGAGCAAGAAUUUCAAUACUAUAAUUAAUGAACAUAUCAACAUAAACAUCACCUAGAAAGUUCUUGGAUCACUACCGGUUUGCAUCCAACUCAUUACCAAGCUCAGUGCCAACAUUGUCGACCGUCCUUUGCAACACAUCUUCUUCAAUGAAAUAUAUACAAGCUUAGAACAUGAAUGUACAAACAAAGAACCCUCUCCGAAAUCAUUCACAACAAGAAUAGGAGUGGGUUCAACAAUAACAUGUUAUCCACUCGUUUGGCAACAUAAACCUGCUUCACCUUUCUAUGUGAGCCGUCCUCUUCGUUUCCUAGGCUUUCAUGAUCUACCACAACAAGUAAGCAGCCUCUUUUAUUUGAGAAACUCAACAGCGUCUCACCUAUUUUGCAUUGUGUAACCCUAUUACCAAAGUUACCAUAGUAGAAGCAAACAGUAAGGAGACGUCUAUACUCGACUUCAAUCACAAAAAAGGGUCUCACUCUCACCGUUACGGAGGCAGAACCCAUUUUCCAACCCUAAUCCCAUUUGGGCAUGUCUAUUGUGCAGCGCUGCAUGAUAUGCAGUGUGAAUAGUAUGUCAGGCGCCAAGAACGUGAUGAGAAAUUGGAAAGGUUAACCAAGUAUUUCCAGUUUCCCCACACGAGCGAGAGUCAACACACCAUUUACUAUAUAUCUAUUUGUUGAUCACUGUUCAUCUACAGUGAUUUACUGUUCAUCUACAGUAAAAACAGUUUUGGGCUCAUGGCAGUUUUUUUUUUUUUUUGGCUGAAAAAAAAGAGUACACUGGGCUUCGCAGUUUGCACACUAUUUAAAAAGGACCAUCUGAAAUUUGUUUUGUUUUGUCUUCGAUGAAAAUAGUAGAUUGAGAAAAGAGUGAAAAAAAGAAUCGAGAAGAAAUAACAUAAGAGAUAUAUUUUUACUAUUAUGAUAAGCGCUUUGUUGUUAAGUAUUUCAAAUUAAAUCUAUAUAGAGUUUGCACUUUGAUAUAUUAGAAAUAAGAAUAAAAGAAGAAAAGUUAUAAACAAAAAUCUCGCAAAUCCCCCGGCAAAGCGCGGGUCAUAAUUCUAGUAUUCUACCAUAGAAAAAAACUCGUCUGUUACGAUCUCGUCAUCAACCGUGUAACGCCCUAAUUCAAAUCCUCAUUGCGGAACCACCACCUUCACCGUCGCCCUCCGCCCUCCGCCCUUAUUUUUCAAUUUCACAACCCCCAAUUGCAUCUGUAAGUCAUUGACUGGUUUUACCAUUUCAGUCACCGACUCAUAUUCUGAUUAUGAGUCCAGCGAUGGGUUGAGGUACAAAAUAUCUCAAUUCCGAUCUCGAUUCCCGACAAUGCCAAAGGUACGAAAUAUCUCAAUUAUCAACCCAAUGAGUCUCCAACUCAAUAGUCUCUAUCACAUUCAUUCAUUCGAGCGAUUUUGACUGAUGUUGGGAGGCUUUGUUUUGCCACUUAACUUCUGGCGAUUUGGAGAAGAGGGAGAAAGAAUGAAGGUGCAUUGGGCGCAAGGUGUUAGAGGUGAGUGGAAAAUUUCAUUGUCCAGUGAUAUGCUUUUUGUUCAUUUUGUCGAUUUGCUUGUGGAGCUAUUGGUUUUCCACUGAGAUGUCCAUUUUAUAUAUCAGCUAAUUAAGUUCUAUUGAUAAGAACUUCAGUUAUUAACAACCUUAGUCGUAAGAAAUUUGUUAUCUCGACUAUUGUUGUUCUGGACAAAUGCAACUGUAGGGAAACUAGAUGAUUCAAAUCAGUUGAGUGGUGGUAGGGAAAAAACUAUGGUGUAGGUUGUUACGUCUGGAAGAGGCAAAGUUGUUUUGAUCAACUACUAGUGUAAAGUAGUUUAGAGGGAUCUGUGUUCUCUUUGUUUGGCAUUGCAUAAUGCAUCAUUAGACAAUAUUUGAGCUGUAGGAAAUGUAGCAACGGCUGCUUUUAAAGAUUUGAGAAUUUGAAGCUUUUGAAUUGAAGGUUGGAGCCAAAUUCAAUAAACACACACACUCAACUGGUACUGCAUGUAUUUGAUCAGAAGACAAUAAAACAUAUGUCAUCUUUAAUAGUUGACAAUGAUUACCACAAAUGAUUGCAAUUGUUAUAUUUUCCAUGCUUUAAUGACAUUAGAAUUUUCUACAGGUAUCAAGAAAUUAUUACAGACCAGUUAUGCUGGCCAAUUUGUGGUGAUGACAAACCCCCACAUUUUGGUCAUGCAGGAGUGUCGUUUCCGGGUUGCUUAUUUACUGAUAAAGGAAGAACAAGAAGGUAUAGUUAUCUUGAUCAUGCUUUCUUUCAGUCUUGCUAUAAUACAUUAUUUACCUGAUAGAUACUAUAUCUUUUCCAUUUUCAAAAUGUUCUCAGAGCUUGCUGCACUCCAUUGUAUUGUAAUGUCUAACUUCUUAUUGUGUUAUGAAGAAGCUGAAUUUUUGCAAGCUGGCAACAUAAAAUCAUCAUUGUAAUUCAGAUAACAAUUGAUUAGUGUUAGAUUGCUCCAUUUCACACGUAUCAAGCAAGUAGUAUCACUCAUGUACUGUCUCCUUCCCAAUUGAGCAACACCAUUGUUCAUUGUUCAUUCAACUUUUGUUCACCUUCUUUAUAAUAACAAACAAGAGAAAGAGAAGUAGCAUCAUCAUCUUUACCAAUGAACAACCAGUUGGAGAAAAUGAAAAAGGACUAAUGUUGAUGGACAACUCUUACUUUUGUGGCUUUUAUGAUAGCUUCUGCAGGUAUACACAUUUUUAGUAAAGAUUAUCACUCUUUAGCAGCAGUGCACCAGCAAGAAGUGAUGGUUUGAACUAUUCUUUGUCACAAUGAUAAUGCAGUGCACCUACAUUGGGUAUUGCAGGGCAGCAGCCUACAUCUAUUUCUUGCAGUCCAUGUAAAUAGACUGCUAUUACAAAUGUUCAACGAUCAAUGAAUCACAUACGAUUUUUCCCGCGCGGGCAAUUUGCCGAGUUAAACUCUAAUCAACAAAAUAACAUCAAACCUCGUUUAAUUACAUAUUCCCUCAAGAUCGUUGAGUUUCCUUUAAACAAACAAAAACGAACGCACAAAGCAAACCUAAGUAGAGGCCAUGAAAGGAUCACAUAUAAGUGGUAUAACAUCUCUUUUUACUCCACCAGGAACUAAAAUGACACCACAACACAAAACAAAGUAAAAGUUGAUAGUCGUAAAGCGGGCAUUGUUAAAAACUGCAUGCAUUGCAAAUACUUGAUAAGUAGACAAUGGACAUACCCUAUGGAUGAGCUUCUCAAAUGCUUCAGCACCAUUCUCUUCAAUGUACUUCUCUGCAGCUGUUAUAACAUCAUCUGACUUACUGAAGACAACCUUCUUCCUUGGAACAAACCAAAUAUUUUCUCCUCAAUUUGCAUUAAAAUGUAGUUAGUUUGAACCCACCUACCAUCAUCCGUUGUUUUAGGAAUCUGCGAGCCAAGAAUAACACGUAAGCAAAUACAAUACGUACAAUGGAAUGACACACAUAAUGCUUUCUCUCUCAAGCAUUAUGUCGAACAAUUUCCGGGAUGUAGCUUUCGGUAGAAAUUGGUGUUCUGUAAUUCCUUUGCUUCAUAUACAUACCUAGAAAUUCACAUCAACGCAGAUAUUGUAAGUACCGAAAAAGAAAACGAUCAGAAAACACAACUGAAAACAUCAAAUUGGCAUAAAAGCAACAAAGACUUCAACUUCAACAAAUUGAAUGCAAAAUAUCGAUCUGUGCAUUUUCAAUUAAAUGCAAAAUAGAGAUCCAUUCACCUUGUGGGCUAGCUCAGUUUCGACUUUCGAGAGGCUGAGAUACCAAGUAUCCAAACCCUCAAACUCCAACUAGUUACACACAAAUAUAUUGGCUGACGGUAAAGAUAUCGAUGGAGGAGGAGGAAAAGCAGUGGCGGGUGAAGGAUUUCAGAGAGAGGAGAGAAGGAAGAGAGAGAAAGAGUUGAUGAAAUCAGGAGUGAAUUGAAUCUGAUACCUAUGAAUUGGAGGGAAGUUGGAAAUUUCGUAAGGGAAUUGAAAUUGCAAAACAAGAGGCGAACGCGGGAAACUGAAAUUUUGAAGUUGGAUAUUUUAAAUAACACGACUACAAACGGUUGACCAUUUUGAUCGAGCCCCGAAUAUUGCCGGAUCUAAUUGAAUUUUUUACGAUGGUCAUAUUUCACUACAAUGAACAUAUCAAAUGGUCCGAUUUUUAUUUUGUGAAUUUUACUCAAUGGAAUCACAACAUGUCUACUAAUGUGGUAUAACUUAUUUAGUAGGUUUUAUGAAAGUGUACAACUCUGUGAACCAGCUAUACAUAAGAAGCAAAAUUUAAAAAAAUUUCGUGAAAUAGGAUGUGAUCGGUAUGGUUAAAUACGGCUAUGGUUGAAAAAUCACAUAUUUCGGGUAACGUCUCGGCCCUGAUAAAAGCGGUCAACCCUUUUUACACUUAAUCUUCCUUAUGGGGAGCCCUAUCGUCGGGAGGUAAAACUCUCUAAAUUUUUACAUGGGUGGUUAUGUCUCAUCUAUGAGAGAGUUUAAUGUUUGGAAGAAUCGACCAAACUAGAUCACGGAGAGGUAGGUAAGAGUGUUUCCGUGUGAUAAGCAACGAUGUAUUAGGGUUGACCGCUUCAAUCGAGCCCCAAACGUUACUGGAUCCAAUUGAAUUUUAUAUCAUAGCCAUGUUUCACUACAAUGAUCAUAUUAGACGGUCAGAUCUUCAUUUUGUGAAUUUUAGUCAUUGGAAUCACAAUGUGUCUACUAAGGUGGUAUAACUUGUUUAGUAGGUUUUAUGGAAGUGUACAACUUUAUGAACCAACUAUACAUAGGAAGCAAAAUUUUAAAAAAAUAUCGUGAAUAGGAUGUGAUCGGUAUAGUUAAAUACAACUAUGGUUGAAAAAUCACAUAUUUCGGGUAAUCUCUUGGUCCCGAUAAAAGCGGUCAACCUUUUUACGCUUAAUCUUCCCUAUGAGAAGCCCUAUCAUCGGGUGAUAAAACUCUUUAAAUUUUUACAUAGAGUGUGUGACUGGAAGAAUAGACCAAAAUAAGUCAUUUAAUUAAUGGUAGGUAAGAGCGUUAGUGACGUUGAAUCAGGGUUGACCGCGCGGAUAAAUAUCUAAACAUUCUAAAAAAUAGGUGGAUUUUGCACCAUUGUGAAACACAAACCGUGUGAAAAAGUAGUAAAUUUUAGAGAUUUUUUCAAAUAUGCAAACCAUUUGUUAUGUUAUUUGGAGAAAUUUUAGUUUGCAAAAAUUAUUUUAAAGUGCAAAAGAACAAACGUGGCAUGUCACAAACAACAUAUUUUGUCCACCCGACACAUUUUACUUUUUUGAAUGAUUUUCUACAACAUUUUAUUUUUAAAGCUACAAAAUUUAUUUGAGAAAAUUUUCAAAUUACUAGAUAUCUUUACUAUUAGAAAGCCAGGCUUUGGUGUCUUUGGUGAAGCUUUUUUUUUCAAUUGGCUAAAAAACCAAGGUAGCAGAAAAUUCUCAAACAAUAAAAAUAAUAGUUACUAUGGGUUUAACCGUAAAACACCACUGAAAUAAGAAGAAAAAAAAAAUAUGUGGUAGUUUUAUCCCACUUUUUGGGGAGCAGUUAUCUACAAAAUGAUAGGAUUAACAGAUUCAUCCCACAUAAAGUGGAGCAGUUCAAGUACACUUUCUUCCAUUUUUUGAUCCCCGUGCAGAUGGACGGGUAGGCUAGUUUAUUUAAGGGAAAAAGACCAUUUGCACAAAAUAGAAAAAGUCAAACCCCAUUUCAAUGAUAAUCUUUUUUAUUAGCCCAUUUAAAUACAAGGUAUUUAUUUUAAGCCCAAAUACACAAAUCUUUAUUAAAAUAUAAUAAAAUUAUAUUUUUAAAGACUUUUUUACCCUUAGCUUUUACUUAAAGAGAAAAAGUGAAAAAGUUGGAGGGAAGACUUUGCCGGAAGCACACCGGGCUCCGGCGCCAGUCACCGGCGGCCGCAUUCCGGUCGCCGGACUCCGAACUCCGGCCGCCGGAAUCCGGUCACCGGAAUUUUCUGACGGCCGGAAAAUUGCCGGCAUCCGGUGGUCGGAAUUUUCUGGAAAUCUCACUGGAUUUUUUUAAAUGUCAUCGAAAUUUACGUGAUCUUAACCCAAGUAUGAAAAGUUUACUAGGGGUAGUAAACUCAAAAUAAAGUUUCUCCAUGACCAUUAUACACCUUAAAACAGUGAAAAAUAAACUUAGAUGCAGAAAAAUAAAGUUUACUACCCCUAGUAAACUUCUGCUAGGGGUAGUAAACUUGUAAUACAGUUUUCCUAUGACCAUUAUAUACCUUAAAGGAGAGAAAAAAUCAACAUAUAUGCAAAAAAAUAAAGUUUACCACCCAUAGUAAACAUCUUACUGGGGGUAGUAAUCUUGCAAAAUAAUAUAUCCAAGGCUAUAAGUACACAUUAAAACGGAGAAAAAUCAACUUAGAUGUGAAAAAAUAAAAUUUACUACCCCUAGUAAACUUUUACUGGGGGUAGUAAACUUGCAAAACAGUAUUUUCAAGACCAUAAUACACACUAAAACAUAGGAAGAACAAUUUAGAUUCGAAAAACUAAAGUUUACUACCCCCAGUAAACUUUUAUUAGGGGUAGUAAACUUGCAAAAAAAUAUUUUCAAUGCCAUAAUACACACUAAAACAGAGGAAGAACAACUUAGAUGCGAAAAAAUAAAAUUUAUUACCCCCAGUAAACUUAUAUUGGGGGUAGUAAGCUUGCAAAACAAUAUUUCCAAGGUCAUAAGUACACAUUAAAACGGAGAAAAAUCAACUUAGAUGACAAAAAAUAAAAUUUACUACCCCUAGUAAACUUUUACUGGGGGUAGGUAAAACUUGCAAACAAGUAUUUUCAAGGCCAUAAUACAUACUAAAACAGAGGAAGAACAAUUUAGAUUCGAAAAACUAAAUUUUACUACCCCCAGUAAACUUUUACUGGGGGUAGUAAACUUGCAAAACAAUAUUUUCAAGGCCAUAAUACAUACUAAAACAGAGGAAGAACAAUUUAGAUUCGAUAAACUAAAGUUUACUACCCCCAGUAAACUUUUCUUGGGGGUAGUAAACUUGCAAAACAAUAUUUUCACCGCCACCACUCUGUCAUCAGAUACAAGCUCCGAAACCACCUUAGCCCUCACUUUUGAUCCCUCACUGCAACUCUCCCCAAGAACCCUGUGAGAAACCCUUACGGCUGCGCUUGCGCUGACGUGGCACCGUUGCCCUAAGAACACUCCCUUUGCCGUCUCUGCUCCAGCCGUCCCGGCCGUCUCUGCUCUUGGCCCGGUUUAGUAGCGCCACCGCUAGAUUCCGGUCCGAUACCUCCUAGGCGGUUUUUGACCUCCCGAUGCUUAAAUCCAGAAACAGCUUCUUCUCGCCAGCGGCGGAGAUUGUGUCGAUUCCGAUCUUCGAGAGCAAAUCGGUGGCUCUCUUGAAGCAUGAUGAAGCGAGGUCGAACGUCCGAAGCUCGUGCCAUUUGACACCGGUCUUGUAUGUGGUAGAACGAGGCGGACUUGAUCGCUAGGGAAGGAGAUCUGAUCUGGUGCGGCGUCGUAGGCGGAGGAGAUGUGGUGCAGUGGAGGAAGGAUUAGAAGGCGUCGCAGGCGGAGGUGAUUUGGUGCGGCGUCGCAGGCGAAGGAGAUUUGGUGUGGUGCGGUGGAGGCACCAAAUCUCCGUCACCGGUGCAGUGCUUCGCCAGUGCUUCGUGUCGUCGGUGCUUCGCCGGAGAGAGGAAUCAGAUUCACGUUUGAGAGAGGAAAGAGAGUGGGAGAGUUUUCUGAGAGAGAGAGAGAGAGUUAAUGAUCAGGAAAAAAGAGGAGAAAGAGAGUUAAAUUAAGAUGAGGGUAUUGACGUCUUUUUCUUAGAAUUCAUUGGAAUUGAGUUGCUGAAUAGAUUUUCAUAUGAUUGGGCUAAAAAGAUGUUAAAUCAGUAGUAAAUGGUAAUUUACUCUUUAUUUAAAAAGAAGAAAGAAAAUUAAACAUAUAAUUGCAUCAAUCACAGAAAUCAAAUUCUUUAAUCGCAUUUAACCAUAAACUCAACCCUUAAACCUCAAACCCCAACCCAAACUGGUCCAAACCCAUACCGGCCUAAACUCAAGGGUAAACAAAUCUCAUCUUCCUUACCCUCUCCAAACGCACACCAUGCAUCUCUUUCCCUUUCUCCACCAAAAAUACCAAGGGACCCUCUCUCUCUAACCAUCCUCUCCCUUUUCCUUAUUUAGUUGGGUUUUGAUGGUUCUUGUGUCUGUGUUCGCUUUGGCUCCGUUGUGUUCUUUGACGCCGGCGGUUUCUGGAGAUACAUGAGGUCAUAAUAAACCUCCGAGGGGUGAUUGUUCGAGCUUCGAUUGCUGCUGGAUUAAGUUGGUGAUCUCGGAUUGGUUAAGUAUAUCUCAAAAGUGCAGUUUCACUUGAGUCGGUGAUCUCGAAUCGGUUAAGUUUGUCUUGGAGGCAACUCUCUUGAGCAGAUUGUGGACUGUGGAGUUUUGGCUGGCUGUGUUCCUUAUCAAGAGCGCAGAUCCGUAUUGGGGCAUCGUCGUAUCGAUUCGAUCAAAUUUGAUUUAUCUAUACCUAAAUAUUUGAAUUGCGAAGUUGAAGAUGGUUGUGUUCAAUGUUUAAACAAAAAAAGACGAAGAAGAUGGUUGUGCACUUGAAGAUGGGGUAUGAAUACCCAAAUCUCGCCGCUCAAAUUUCACACGCACGAAGAAUCUACACCACAAAAUAGAAAGAAGGGAGAGAGGGGUAAAGGGUCUAGCCGGUCAUCAAUUGUGUACCAUUAAUUCAAAUGACAUGCUAAUCGUACGGUUGAAAAUGCAUUCAGCCUCUAAAAACCCAAUCACCGGCCUGUCUGCAUAGUAUGCCGCGCUGCAUACUAGAAUUUUCCAUCCCAUUUCAUAUCUUGAGACUUGAGCGCAUACAUGUGGGGACUUCUAGUCCAACCCACGUCGACACCAAUCCGAAAGAGAAUUCAUCUAAGUAACACGUGUAAAAUCAGGAGUCUCCAUUAACCGCGACAUUUCCAGAUGUUUCUCUACUCCUCUCCCUCUCCCUCUCCUAUUGCUCCCGAACUUUCUUCUCCUGCCUUCUUAUAUCCCCACACCUUUUUCUCCCCAGGAACAACACAAACCAUCGAUUGCAGCAUCACACACACACACUGAUAGUCUGCGCUUGGAAAGUGAGCCACCUGCCCAACUAUGGACUUGGAAGCAGUAGUGAGCCACCUGCUCAAUAUUCCGGAGACCAUCCCCACCUACGUGCAUCCUUCUCGGGCUGCUCAUGGAACCAAAGAGAACCAAGGUGCCUCCACCAUUCCGGUCGACAUAUUGGACUCUGCCAAGGACUACACCUUUUACUUGGACGUUCCUGGCUUGUCCAAGUCUGAUAUUCAGGUAUCGUAUUUUGUUUACUGAUAUGAUUUCGAAUUGGAUGUUAUAGAGAUGUGUUAGCUGAGGUACUGAUGGAGACUUUGUUGUUCAGGUAACCGUUGAAGAUGAGAACAAUCUGGUGAUUCGGAGCAACGGGAAAAGGAAGCGCGAAGAUGGAGAGGAGGAAGGAUGCAAGUAUAUUAGGCUCGAGAGGAAGGCACCACAGAAGAUGCUGAGGAAGUUUCGAUUGCCUGAGAAUGCGAAUGUUGGAGCCAUCUCUGCCAAAUGCGAAAACGGAGUUCUGACUGUGGUUGUUCAGAAGCAUCCACCUUCCAAGCCCAAAACGGUUGCAGUUAACAUCUCUUGAAGCGAUUAGGGCCGGGAUGAUGUGCGAAGGUGAAGCUAGGCUGGGAAUUUGAUGGAUUUGUAGGCCUCUGUUUUUGUGUUGGAAGUCGUAACCAGCAUGUAGAUAGAUUAGUCUUUCCAGGCUUAGGCGCACUUCUCUGUUUCGAAUUUUUAUUAACGGCUGUGUUGUAUGCAACUAAAAUUUGCCAAAGAGCGUGUGUUUGAAUGAAUGAAUGCUUAGUGUUUGUGUUUAUUUCUCAUACUUCUUUCAUUGAAAAUAUUGAUGGUACAAUGAUGCAGAGGUUCUUAUAACCUUACAGCUGGUACAAUAUGAACUAUAAACCUUAAACAAAAUUUUGUGACGACCUUGGCUAGAAAAUGUAUGAAGUCUGGAAAACAAUAACGCAAAAUUUAGUUCAAUCAGAUGACUUUCUCUUCUUUCGUGGCUUCGACUUCUUGCUUUUAGAUUCCUUCUCAGCAGGGGCGUCCUCGUUAAACAGAUGCUCAUAUUCUUCCAUACUAGCGAAUGGGGAUGCUGCAGUCCCCCGCUUCCGUUUAGUUUUCCCCUGAACACACUCAAUAUGGACAUUCUCAUCUUCGUCUUCCUCCUCAUCCUCAGCAUCUCCUAUAUCAAUAGCAUCAUCAUCAUCACUCUCAUCACUGUUUGCAGUGACAUCAAAAUCUUCUCCCUCUCCAAUAUCAGAUGGCAGGUCGAUAUCAUCAUCACUGACAUCGCUGGCGUUACCAACCAAGUCUUCGUCAUCGUCAUUGGCAACUUGGUCUAGAUCAUCAUAAUCAUAGUCGCCAUCUGCAUCCAUGGCAACACCAGCAGAAUCCAGCAUAUUGUCAAUCUCUUCGUUAUCACUUUCAUCAUCACCACCACCAUCCACAUCAAACAACUCUGCGGCAUCUUCAUCUUCUGCUGUUGCCUUCUUCUUCUUCUUUUUUGGUUUAUUCGAAGUAUUCAUUUUAUUCAUGUAGAACUUGUGAAAGACAAGAUCUUCUGCAGGCACAUCUUCUUCAGCCAAUGAGAGGAUUUCGGGCCCUAUGAAUCGGUUGGUCAUGUCAAGCUGGAACACAAAAGCUCAGUCAGCAUGACAUAUCCAGGGGCUCUCUAGCGCUGGGCAGUGCCAACAUGUAUGGUUGGGUACAAUCAUUCAAGAGAAAAAAAAAAAAGAAAAAAGAAAAAAAAGAAGAAGACAUUUUCCACAUAAAUGAAGGCAUGAAUGAAGCAAAAUGGUACUUUUGCACCUAAGUUCAGAAUUAAGACCUUUUUCGCAGGUUCAAUUUGCGAACCACCAUGCCAUGUGCUUGCCUUAGGUUUUUUCUCCAUAAACUUAUCUAGGAAAGCAGUAAGUGAUAGGUCAUUCAGUGGGUUUCCAUUAUAGACGAUAUUCGCCCCAGAGAGAAGUGUCUUUGCCAUGGUAGAAACUGAAGGGUGCACAUGUGAAGCAAGUACUGUCAACUCCCACCAGCUUACACGAUCUGCAUUGCUGUUAGCCAUAAAGAAAAAUUUGUUAGUUAGUUGAAAGAAAAUAAAAAUCGAGAAUUUAAAAGGGGUGCAAGGGAAAGACGAUUUCUUUUAAUUCUCCAUUUUCUUUCUCUUUUUUUAAGAACAUUAGCAUAUGUUCUACUACUUCUACUUGACAUGGAAUUUCCCGGUUUCCAUCUGAAGCAGUGAUGGAACAGGUUCUAGCACUGAUACAAAAGCUCAUAAAAGAAUACUAACCAGUAUGAGGGCUCUCUGUGCCGUGGAUCAUAGCCUCCAGGUAGUGUGGUCUUCUCAGAGGAUACUACUUGUGGUUGUUGCACACUACUAUUAGGAACCGUCUUGGAGUGCUUUGAAUCAUUUUUAAAAUGGAACUCAUCUCCUUCAUCGGAAGCUUCAUCCUCAGAAUACGAGGCAGGAGAUUCGAUGUCAUCUUCUGAAGAAUCAUGAUCAGAAUCGGCAGUAUCAUUUGUUUCAUCACUGUUAUGAACAAGCUUGACAUCUUGUUUCUCUGAGACAGGGCUGGGUUCCUUGUCAGUUUCUUCUAUCACAUCUUCAAAAUGCUCAAGGUCAUCAUCAACUGACUCAUUUUGGAGCACCAUGUUCCUGAGAUUGACAAGGAGGUGAUAAUUUUUAUGACCUUAUUGCGAGUACAGUUCACAGAUCUUUGAAUUAGCCAUACACUUACCAUAAGGGUGGCCUUGCUUUAAGAACUUCAGAAAGAAGAAAAAGGCAUCCACAUGCAUAUUGAGGCGGCUGUUGAAGGGCAACCUGUUCAAGCCAGCAGAUAAGUAAAAGAUCCCCGUAAGGGAAGAACAAGAGCAGUCCAUCUAUACUACACUGCAUGCUUACUUCAAAGAUGCAUACUUUUAGACUGAAUUUAGAUCUACAUGUGGAGCUAUCUAUUGAGGAACUAUGGUCCCAUGGGACGUAUAAAUAAGAUGGAUAGAUGAAAUACAAACCUGCAGUAAACGUUUUGCAAAAGCAGCUGUACGCUUCACGUUGACAUCAGAUUUCAUUGCUCUCAGAAGGAGUCCAAUAAAUGUUUCAGCCUAAAAAGAAAGCACAGUAAGGUAUACAACUGAAAACUAGAGAACAUGAAAAAUAAGAACCAGCGCAGCUGAUUAAACCCUGACAAAAAAAAUAAUAUGCUCUAGUAAUGUUGUAUCUAAACAAACAUUCAGACAAAUCAUAAUAUAGUCACUCAAAUAAAGCACAUAAUCUGUAUGAAUUCAGGUAAUCGCAGUUUUACUUACCUUGGAAGUAUUCAUGGCAGCUGGAAGCAGUAGUUUUGAGUACAAGGCUCGGUAAAACCUAUCACUGACAAUUUGAUUCUUAGAUGAGAUAUGAUGAAGAAGCAUUAGUGCUUGAACUCCAACAUUAAAGUUAGUAGAAUGAACCUGCAUAGCAGUCCACAUUAGAUUCAAUGCUUAAGAUAAUAGCAAAAUCAAGUAAUACCAUCAAAGUUUUGAGUUUACCAAAUGGAACAGUGUUGGCGUUUGGGCCUCAACAAGGUCAUCAGCCUCAUUCUUUGAAACAUAUGGGAAUGCUCUAUUGACUCCCUGUUAGGAUGGCAAGAGAAGGGAUGAAAAGCAGUUAGAAUAGUAUUGGAAAACAGUAUUUCCAUGCUUAAAGUUUAUGCAUAGCUUUUUUUUGUUUCUUUCAUCAGUUUCUUUCAGUGAUUUAUGCUUGAAAGCACCAAGAGGAACAUUGCUGGUGGCAUAUCAUCAAUUUUGACUCAAAGCUAAAAACUAAAAAUGAUGACCCAAUUAAUAUACCAACCAUUAAUAGAGCUGAUAGAAGACGUGAAUCCAAUUCAACAUGAGUAUCUGACGAUUUCUUCCCUUUGCCAUCCUUAAGAGAACCGGGUGGUUUUUUACCCCCUACUUUAUCAGUCUUCUCUGUCUUAUCACCACCACCAGCCUCAGAAAUCAGUACCUGAAACGUAUUUCAUGAAUAUUUGUUUUCAAAUUCAUAAUUUUGGCUUAUAGCCAAAAUUUAAAAUUAAAAGACCCUUAAAUUAGACAUUGAAAUAUUAUACUUCAAGCAUCAUCAAAAUUUUCUCAUUAGAAAUAUCAACAAAACUUCAACACAGAUGAAAUGAUCAGGAAAAAAAGUAUCACUUGCUUAUGUAGAAACUCAGGUUUUGCAACCAUAAGAGGCAAGAGUAUUCAAAACAAAACGUAAAUAUAGUUCGGUCAUACCUUGAAAAGUGCAAAGUAUACAUCUACCAAACUUUUUGCCACCUUUGGUCCAUCUCCUGUAUUUCUAAGUUGAAUUUGGCUCAAAAAGUUUACCUGCAGUUGUAAAAGUGUAGAUCAAAUUUUGUAUCAUGCCAUCUAAAUCAAAGCAUGGCUCAUCAAGAACUAAAACUUCAUUGUUAACCAAACACAAUCAUUUUCUUUUCUCUACAAGCCAAUUGAAGAAAAACAUCUUAUUAAUCCCGGAGUUCCUGAAUGUAAUUGAUCUAAUACAGGCACAAGUUUCAGACAGAAAGACAAUUGACAGAACACGUUGCACCUCACAAAAUAUAUGCAAUCUUCUAUGCAAAUAGGAAAGUGUCUCUUGACAUAUCUAAAUCUUGAACUUACAUCUGUUAUAAGUUCAUUUCAGUUGAAACUUCUGUGUGCAAGCAAAUGUGAAGAACCUAUUAAUGUGAAGAACCUAUUUCUCUACUAUCUAUACCUAGUCACGUGUCACCACUUUUGAUGGUUGGUUUCAAUAUCCGGAGCCUUUGUUGGUUUUUUCUUGCAUUGAAGAUGAAUUGCACCCGACUCUUUAAACAUCUAAUCGCAAUACAAAGGCAGCACAAUCCUUAGCAUCAGCUAAAGAUCCACCACCAUCACCCUAAGAUUUCCAUAAAACUAUAACCAAAUUAUCCCAACUCCUAUAGUUCACUAUACCUAUGCCAAGACAGCAUUAUUUAUAGUAUUACUAACUAAGAAAUCCACCACAACUACUAGAAUCUAAGACAAAAACAGGUUAUAGACUAACAGUCCACUACAAUCCUUAGCAUCAGCUAAAGAUCCAAUCAUCACCUAAGAUUUUCAUAAAACUAAAGCCAAAUUAUCCCAACUCCUAUAUUUCCCUAAACCUAUGCCAAGAAAGCAUUGUUCAUAGUAUUACUAACUCAGAAAUCCAUCACAACUACUAGAAUCUAAGACAAAAAAAGGUUAUAGAUAGAAAAGAAGUAUGUAACCAUAAAAGCUGGAUAGCAAGAGUACCACAGAUGAUAAACGAUGAAUUAAUCUAUUGGCAGUGUCUAUGAUGAGACAUACCGCGUGGUAUUUUGCUUGUAUGCUUAAAUGCGGCCGAAAGAGAAAAGAGUCCACCUCAGCAAUCACCACAGCCUGUUUAAUCACGACAGCUCUUAGUCAGAUAUGAGAUGCCAAAGCACCAAAACAAUUACUAAGAUCCACCAAUAACCGAAGGUAUAUAUAAAAAAGCUAAAAAAUAGAUAUGCCAUAUGCAUGAUAAAAGCUAAAAAAAUGCUAAACAAUUACUAAGAUCCACCAAUAACCGAAGGUAUAUAUAAAAAUCCUCUUGUCAUUAUCAUCGAGAUCAAACUGGAUGCAUAUAUCUGAAAGCACCAAACUUUAAAAGCUGGAUGUGCAGAAGACAGAGAAUAUUUUCACAAGGCAACACAAGCAGGCAGCAUUUUGAUUAGUUUAUUGUACCAUAGUACCUUCAUGUUUGGAUGGUCACGCAAAAGGUUUGAUAAGUGAAAAUCAGCAUCUGAAGCACCCUUAUUUUUCGGAUCUCCCAGCUGCAAGUAAUCAAAAGAACAAAAAAUAACAAAAAAAAAAAAAAAAAAACAAUAAAGCAGGUUAGCAGUAGUGAGAGGGAGAGAGUAUCUUCAAUACAUUUUCAGAGGUGAGACCCAACUUACUUUAUUAACUAUCGCAGAGAGUAAUCUUCGUUCUUGUUCUGAUUUACUCUUUAGUAACACAUAUAUAGUCUGAAAGAAGUUAUGAAGAUAGGAUAUAUGUUAGCAUAAAAUAAACUUAUGAGCAUAGAAAUUUGGAAUUCUUGUUCUAGUAACUUAAAAUUUUUCCUCAGGCAAAUAUGACUCAGAAAGUGAUAUGAGAUAGGCCCUGCAUCUCUAGUAUAUUCCCUUGCUUUGUAUCAGAUGACAAGAGAAUAGGAUAGAGAUAAGAAAAGAAAAGAAGUUUAACCAUUAAAAUUCCAAAUUUUGCUGAAAGCCUGAUUCGUAGAUAUAGAAAAUUAAUACUAGUCAUAAAUAGUGUGCUUUCAAUUGUAAACAGUUUCCUAUUUCCUAAACCACUUCACUGGUACUACGGAAGAGGCACAAGUAUCUGGUCAUGAAAAGUAUAAAAACUAAGGCUGAAAGCUCUUGAGGAAUCAACUAUUAAUUUAUUACUCGAGGAUUUUACGCCGGAAGUAGCACCAAAUAAAAUCAGGAUGAACACUAACCUUCAAUGCCUUGUUUUUAAGUUCAGGUAACAUAUCUCUUGAUGCUUCCUCAAGAGCAAUAACAAAGCGUUCAUACCUGAGAUGUAUAAAUCAGGUUAGGGAUAGAAACAAAUAUCCUAGAAGGAUUGAUUUGGAAAAAUAGAAAAAGAAAUAUACCUUUGUUUCAAGGAUUCCUCCCAAUACCAGAGAAGCAGAAGAGAAUAACCAUCUUUUGUCUCAGGAAGAUCAUUUACAGGCCGCUGUAAGAGGCUCUUAAGCUUGCGAUCAGGUAAUAAACUAGCAAAAGGAAGCAAAUAUCACAUGUUAGAUCAACAGUAAGGCAGAUAAACUUAUAGGCACAAAAAUUUCAGCAAUAGCGAGUCGAAGUUCUAUUUAAAAUUCCAAAGGACAAACAAAUACUUUUAACCAUUUGUCCAUGACCAACAAUAAGGGGGUUCUUGCUAAAACUUAGAUGGUCUUGCAGCAUACCAAACUAGAAAACCAUCAAGUUCACUAAUACCGACCACUUCAGUUCAAUCUGACAUAGAUGCUUGUUUAUAGUUCAUAUUCCCUUGAUGAUUUUAUUGUUUGUCAUUCUACUAUUCUAUCUAUAUAACCUCCGAAUAUGGUUCCAAGAGCAAGAGAGACUGAGAGAGAGAGAGAGAGAGAGAGAGAGAGAGAGAGAGNNNNNNNNNNNNNNNNNNNNGAGAGAGAGAGAGAGAACCUUGUAAGAAACAAUUCCCUCAAUGCAUCAAAACCUGCAAAUGCGUACCGCUUUCCUACUUUCGAUGCUACCAUUCCUGUAACAAACAACAAGUCCCAAUUAACUCACACGACACAUUAUCCAUUCAAAUGUAACACAAUGUACAUUAUCAGCAGACAAACAAAUGUGAAUGACUAGAUUAGAUUACCUAAAAGGGCAUCCAAGGACCUCAAAUUGGCAAUGGGAUCAUCCCCAACCAAAACCGAAAACGCCGAAAUCUUAUCAGAGGCAGUCCCAGACCUCUGUGUGGUAAGCAACAGCUUAAUAUCCCCACUCUUCCCUUUGGAAGCCUCGUAAUCCGCCGUGUACUGCGCCAUCAACCUCUCCGCAAGCUUCCUCUUCUUCCCCACCUCAACACUCCACUCCCUCUCAUUCCUCGCCUCCACUCUCUUCAUCUUCACCGCCACUUUCCCCUCCAACUCCUCAGCUUCUUCGUACCACACUCCGAUAUUAACGGCGGAAAUCAAGGGCAGCUUGGGAAGAUUCUCGAAGCUCUUGGCCUUGUCAUUGUUGGUGUUGAUAUCAGGGAAAGGGGGUUUAGUGGGUUUUGAGAGAUUGGGUUUGGAGUUGUGGGUGUUUCGGUUUUGGGGUUUUGAGGGUUUUGGGGUGGGUUUUUUGGGGUUGCGGAAAUCGACGUCGUUGAAGCCCCCGGAAGAAUCGGAGGGCGGGAGAGAGGUGGAGAGGCCGAGGGAGGAAGCGAAGGAGGCUAUGUCGGUCUUGAGGUGGUCGAUGUUGUUGGUUUUGUUUGAGGGUUUCUUUGAUUUCUUUCUGUCCGCCAUUGCUGGCUGUGGAAGAUGAGAAGGAGGAAAGGGUUUGGGGACUUUUGAGUUCCUGUUUCUAUAGUUUGGCUCUACUGGACUGGAGUAGGGUUUAAGAAGUCGGAACAAACUGGGGCGUUAGGGUUUAGACGGCUGAUUUAUUUAUUUAUUUAUUGGUUACAAAAAAAAUAGUAGUCGAGUGAGCUACCAAUCUGGGAUCGAGAGUAAUUUGUAGGUAUGAUCCAUCACAAGCUGGGGUUCAAACCAAGGACCUCAUAUUGCCAAGAGAAUCCUUGCAGCGUCCGUCCCACUUGCAACCUAACAUGUUUCCAUUAGACCAACUCUACUAUACGGCUGAUUUAUUUAUUUUUUUACCAAAAAAAGAAUAAAACAAAAAAUGAAAUGAAAUUCCCCGUAGCAUUUUUUUUCCAAAGUACCUCUAACAACGGUUUUUCUUUUCGACGCUAGGCAACAAGAGAUCGGUGAGCCGUCACCUAAUGAUUUGCAACCUAAACUAACAUCACGGAGGUCAUGAGUUGGAAUCUCAUUGUCACAAGGCAAGAAAAAAGAUUUACUAGGGAUCAAUAACUCGAUGACUAGGGUCGGUAAGCAUGAAUACCUAUAGAUUAGCCGCCUAAACUAAUAUCACGGAGAUGAUGAGUUAAAAUAUUACCGCCGCAAGGAAAAAAUAGAGAUUUACUAAGAGGUCGGUAACCCGAUUACUAGGGUCGGUAUUUUAACUACUAAGGUCAGUGAGCAUAAAUACAAUUUACUGACCCUUAAUAAAACCUCCGGCAAUUAUCCAGCUAGUUUCCGGCGUGGAUCCGGUCACUCGAAGCUGAGAGUUUUAUCCUUCAACAAGCUGAGGCCUGAGAGUGUCUUUUUUCUUUUGGAGCGGGGAGGGGGAUGGGUGACCCAUCUGUUUUAACCCGUUUAAAAAAAGAAUAGAACAGAACCUGACCGAAAAGUUGGGUUGCUAUUGGUUUAUAGGCCCAAGUAAUUGCUUUUCUUUAUAUUUGGAGGCCCAAAAUUACAAGCCCGUUAGGGUUAGUUUCUAAGUCAUAAAACCCUCGCCGUCCUCAUUCUGCUCUCAGAAGCUCACAGAGAGGCGGAGGCGUUUUCAGUUCCAGAGAUUUCCAACCUCUCUUUCCGUUGUUUCGUAGCAGCCAUGGCGACCACAACUGCCGCUCCUCCGCGUCAGCUCUCCGAUAAGGAGGCCGACAUCCAGAUGAUGUUGGCCGCCGAAGUCCACCUCGGCACCAAAAACUGCGAUUUUCAGAUGGAGCGUUACGUCUUCAAGCGCCGCAACGAUGGUUCGAAUCCCCCACCCACCUAAUUUUUAUUUACAUCUUGAUUUGAUUAUGCAUAUAUUUGGUAUCCCUAAACCUAAACCCUAGUUAGACCAGUUAGUUAGUUGGUGAUGUAGUGUUGUGGAUGUUGUGUAGGGAUUUAUAUUAUCAAUCUUGGUAAGACAUGGGAGAAACUCCAGCUAGCUGCUAGGGUUAUUGUGGCUAUUGAGAAUCCCAAGGACAUUAUCGUCCAGUCUGCUAGGCCAUAUGGGCAGAGGGCUGUCCUCAAGUUUGCUCAGCACACUGGGGUUAAUGCCAUUGCUGGAAGGCACACUCCCGGUACCUUCACUAACCAGCUUCAGACUUCCUUCAACGAGCCCCGUCUCCUCAUCUUGACUGACCCAAGAACCGACCACCAGGUGAGUUUCUAGACAGGGUCGUACAUUUUGUGUUUUGAUUUUUUAGUGAUUGGAUUGGUUAUGUGCCGAAAACGGUGUUUGUGUGGUUGCAGCCGAUUAAGGAAGCUGCUCUUGGGAACAUUCCCACCAUUGCUUUCUGCGAUACUGAUUCGCCCAUGCGGUAUGUUGACAUUGGCAUUCCGGCCAACAACAAGGGGAAGCACAGCAUUGGAUGUCUGUUCUGGUUGCUGGCAAGGAUGGUUUUGCAAAUGCGCGGUUCUCUGAGGCCAGGACAUAAGUGGGAUGUCAUGGUAAGCUAUAACUGCCGUUAUCAAAAAAAAAUUGUUUUCUAUUGGAAUUGUGUGCCUUGAUGAUGAAUUAUCUGCAAGAAACUGAUGGGCGUGUUUAAGAAUGCCUUGUUUCCUGUGCUGACACUAACUUGAAUGGGCAGGUGGAUUUGUUCUUCUAUAGAGAACCUGAGGAGGCCAAAGAACAAGAGGAGGAAGAAGCGGUGCAAGCUCCAGAGUACCUUGAAUAUUCUGGUGGUCUUGGUGGCGAUCAGUGGCCAACCCAAGGUGCUGAGGCUUCUUGGUCUGCUGAUGCGGCCCCUGCUAUCCCAGCAAUUCCUGCUGCGGGCUGGACUGGUGAACCAGGUAUCACCUGCUACCCUUUUCAUUGUUGUGCUAGCACCAUAGUUCUAUAUUAUAUCAUCUCUUUAUCGCCUAGAAUUUUCUGCUGUGGCAUCCUCUGUCCUAAUUUUGCAUGCUUUUAGUUUUUGGUAUUAAGACAUCAACAGUGUGAUUGCUAAAGCAUCUGUGUUCUGAGAGUUUUAAAUGCUAAGAAGUGUGGCAUACUGGGAAGGGUCAAACCUAUACUGACUUUUUGUUGAUUUUGUUUAUCUUUGAAGGUGCGACACAAGAAGGUUGGGAUGCUGCUCCAGCACCAGUGGUUCCUGCUCCUAUCGUUGAGGGUGGUGCUCCCGUAGUGGCCAGUGGUUGGGAUAUGUAAUGGGAGAAGGUUACUGUCUGAGGCUUAAAUAAUUUAAUGUUUCUUUCAGUCUUAAUCUUACACAAUAGUUUAUACAGUAAUUCCUUUAUGUAUGGGGAUAUUUAUUUCUGUUUUAGAUGUUUGUUUAAUUGAAAACCUGAGGCUGCAAUUGUGAAAUUAUCUGUUUGAUUUACAAAUUUUGUUGAAUUGUGAAAUGAUUCAACCAAAGCAUCUGCAGAACCAAAUGGAUAAUCCCAUCCCCGGAUGGCAAACAAUGGAAUAUCUGGAGUUUGAUUUUGUUUGCUGAAGAUCUUAAUAAUAAGUUAUAACACAAAUGUACACUCAUGUUGUGGUGUCUGUCUGCUUUGCAAGUUGUCAAAUUUUGGAUGAUAAGAGUGACUGAUAUGUUAAAUAAAGAGAACUCAUUUUCCUCAUUUUCUAGAUAUGCAAUUAUGCAUUUCUCCGGUAAGUCGUCGAGAUGGAUCUCACUAAACCUUCUGAUCUAGCACCAUCUAAGUCACACAUUUUGGACCCUGGUGAGUUGGGAAUCUCUCGAGCAGGACUUUGAAGCUGAUUGAACCCCUCAACAAUUUGCUUCUCUUGCAGAACAUAAACCGGUUUUUGCCUUGUUGUAGACACAUUCACAUUAUUGCCUUCUCUCUUUUCAGAGUAAUUCAUAUUAGGUUAUUGCUAUUAACACACAUGUUUUUGUUACUAACAUUAUCUAUUUUCUUAUCCACACAUUUUUAUUUUAUUUACAAACUUAUUACUUGAAUUUAAUUGAUGAUUGGUUUUCACCAUAUAGAGGGUGUGUUAAUAACAAAAAUGGGUGUGUUAAUAGCACCACCCUUCACAUUAUUCCCUUUCCUAUUUUCAACAAGUAUUGGGAGUGACAUUCUAUAGCUUCCCUCAUUUUAGUUUCUAGUAAAUAAAAGAGAACCCAAAUUGGAAAUAUAUACUCUCGUUCGAAGAUACAAAAAUGAAAAGAAAAUGAAAUUGAAUGUAAUCUGGACUUGCAACCUGAACAAUGGUGGAUGAAAUAUGUUGUUUUCUAAUCAUCUACGAUCACUUUUGACAAUCUAAAACCUAAAAGAAGCUGUGGAUUUGAGAGUUUGCUUAUUGAUACCUAUUUUUACUUCUCCUAUUGUCAAUGGCCGACCAAUUAAUUUCCACCUUCAAGAAUACGUUUCUCAGCAAAUCCAGUACUAAUCUCUGUGUUGAUAUCUUACCAUUUAUUUUCUGUACAAAAACCAAAUCCUUCGGAUGGGUUGAAUUAGAGUUAUGAUGCAAAACCUUAUAGUUAGCUUCAAAGAAACAGUAACUCCCCGUGAGCUACCCAGUUCAUGAAGCUGUUGGAGUACUCAGGUGGCAUAUUAUCACAUGCGAGAUCAGAUUCACUCUGCCCUCUUCCCUGAUAAAUAAGAAAUUAAAGAAAUUAACAUUUCUUCAAAUGCAGAAAAUAAGAUGGCAAAUAUAAACAGUCUCGAUCAUAGACCUAACAGGAUGUUUGGUAUUCAUUACUAAACAAGGUGGAUCUAUCAAUAUUUCAUGCCAACUACGGCAAGGAGAUUAUAGAUAACUGACCUUUUUUGUGGAUCCAGAUUCACUAGCAGAUGUGCUCGUUUCAAAUUUUGGUGCAUUCACAAGAUUCUCUGAUGAAAGGCUAGCAAUGGACCUUGAGACAAGUAACAAACUGUCAGCAGUCAGAUUGAUACGACUUGUUUCCAGAUGUAAUCUACAGAUUAUAUGUACAGUGUGAGACAGUAGAAUUAAGUUACCUUGCAGACAUUUCUUCUUCACAAGAAUUUCCAGAUGAAGACAACCAGUCCGCAUCUAGAAAAUUUGAGAAGUUACAGUCAUCAUCAUGCUCAUCAUAAUAAAUGUGAUCGCUGUUAAGGCAUUGAUCCUGCAUUCCAUCAAACAGCUGCUUGCUAGGCAUUGGGGGAGUAAUCCUAUAAAAGACGGUUAUUAGACUGGAAGUGGGGUCAACAUAUAAAUUUUUUAUCCUCCAUUUAAACUAUUCUGUUACAUUACAAAAGAAAUUGAAAAAAUAAUAUAUAGAAUUACUGUAGUUCAACACCAGUAGAGACCUAGAACUGUUAAAACAGCUUCUCUUGGUAACAUGUAUAUGGAUGCAAUGCAGGCAUACCUGUGAUAAGAUAUUGCACUUUCACAAGUUGAGAUUGCUGGGGCAGACUCAGAAAUACCCUUGCUACUUCCUUGUGAAAUGUCAGAUAAAGGCUGAUUGUGUCCAACAUCCAUAUUUUCCAUAGGCAGUUCACUUUCACAGAUAGGCGGUUCACUUUCACAGAUUAUGUUGCCAUCUGAUAGUGAUCUUUUCAUAAAUGAACUACAUAUAUACAAGCCAUGUAGUAAAAUGUCAAAGCAAGCCAUAUGCUACUUAUUACUUUUACUAUAUACGCAGAAAAACUGCAACAUUGACUUGCGUAAAUUGUUGAUAAGAACCACGAAUAUCAAAUUAUUUCCCAUCCUCGUAAGCGCAUGAUUUUUUUACAAAUUGCACACAUUUCCUCUAUAUCAACCACUUGGAUACAGCUUCGAAAUGGAGGUGAAAAAUACUACCUUUAUUAUAAUAAUUAAAGAACUUAAAUCACAUUAUUUCCCAUCCUCGUAAGCACAUGAUUUUUUUUACAAAUUGCAUACAUUUCCUCUAUAUCAUCCACUUGGAUACGACUUCAAAAUGGAGGUGAUGAUAAAUACUACCUUUAUUAUAAAGAUUAAAGAACUUUACAAGUUGUUAAGGGAAUACGAGGUGCAAUGUUUGUGAAUGUUUGUGUGAAUGUUUGUGAGUUACUUUCUUAUAUGGUGUCGCCCUCCUAAUUUCUAGCACAAAACACUAACAGACACAUGAUUUCAUACCUGCCAUUGUCAUCGGAAAAAUUAGGAUUACGCCUUCCAACAUGGUAAUGCUGGUAUGAGUCCAACUCCCACAAUGCUGGUUUACCCUGUAGUGGUUGAAAAUGCCCUAGGAAUCUGCACAAUAAUAAAAAAAACAACAGUUUGUUGCAUUACAUGGUAACGUGACCAAGUACAUCAGGGUGCAAAUGUUAACUUGGGCCGACUUGACUUACACAUUAAUAGCAUCCUGUUUCUCAGCAUCCACGUAGGCGUUACUGAAAUAUCGUUGAAGGGUUCUAAGCAACUCUUGGGACUGAGUUGCUGCCUUCCAUUGACCUCUUUUCUCAGAAAAUAUCUGUUUUAAAUCAUUAAGGCAAAAAUGAAAAUAGAGUUCAGUCAGGAUAUAGAUUGAAACCAACCAACACAGUGAUUUCAUCUAACAUGUUAUACUCUUAAUUGAAUAUUGGAGUAUGCCUCUUUAGAAAUGGAUGAAGUAUUGAUCUUGUCAUGGGCCUUGAACCCAUUCAAAAUGGUAAGAUAACAGUUCAGUGAACAGUUUUGACUCAUUUUUGAGGGAUAAGAUUUUAUGCUACGUCAACACAGAGGUCCAACUAUUAAUGAAAGGUUAAAAUGGCAAAUCAAACAAGGGAACACUGAACAAGAAACAAGCAUAACAUAUGGUCAAUCACUUUGAGAUUAUGUACUAACAAUUACCAUCACCACUUUCCUAUCAUAAUGGGAUUCAUCUCAAGUUAUCCAUAUCAGAUAGCCCACACUGGAAGAAUAUCGAAAAUAGAGACUGUAAGUACUCUUUCUGUAAUAUGUUUAGAAGGGUUACCUUGUUGUGAGCUGCAGAACCACCAUACUGUAAUGCAAGAGUGUCGCCCAUUGCCUCAUAAAUUCUCAUCAAAUCUUCUGCCAGAGGGUUAUCCAGAUCAAUAUCUGAGGAUUCUAUAAAUCCUAAAGCGUACAUCUGCUGUCCAAGAGCAACUAGCCCAUAAGCAUACUGGGCUACAUUUGUGCGAUCUAAACAGUCUAUGCAAUUGGUCCUCAAGACCCCUUUCUGAAACAUUGGGGGUUUGACAUUGUGAUUCUUGUUCAUAUCGUCACCACCACUUGCAUUGCUAAUUUCUGUUUCUACGCUAUCAAGAUCCUCAUCUUUACUGGAACAGUGUGAAAAGCCGUCACCACCAUCAUCACUUUUCCUGCAUCACAUUAAAAUUGUUAGCUUCGGCAAUAGCUUCUAGCGUUUCUAGAGAUACAAUAUUAAACAAUCAAAUAAGAAAGAAAAUAACAAAAAAUACUGUGCCAAAAGGUCCCUUCUUCUUUUCUUUUUCAUGAAAAUAAAUGUGCUGUCAUGAAAAGAACUUACUCAAACCAGGAGCCGUGGUAUGAACCCUCCGGCGUUAAAUUCGAUGUUACUCGACAAUAGAAGAUUCCGGUUAAGCUCAAUGCAUAUGUAGCCACUUUUCCAAGAUGAGCCAAUACAUUGGUUGUUUUGCUGCAAAAGAUACAGGUCCUAUUCAUCUCAACCUUACAAUUAGGAAAUAAUCUCUCUUCCUCUCUUCUUAAUUUUAAAAGUACUGGAAAUAAAAAUUUAAAAGAAAAGGGAAAGCUAAUACCUUCUGGCAUGUUUAUGCAGAUCCCAAUGAAGAAACCUUAGGCGGCUCUCCUUUGACAAACUCCUAUUGAUAGAUCGGAUAGCAUUUGCAAACUCUGCACGGAGAAUUGUUUCUCGAGGCUUCUUCUCACAUGUCUAGUAGUCACAAACAUCAUGAGAAUAGUUCAAAGAUCACUACAUUUGAGGUUAUACAUUUUUUCACAGAUUAGUAAAGAAGAGUGGAUGAUCAUUUAAAUAAGUAAUUUUACCUUAAUCAGAUUCAAAAUAAUAAUCGGAUUUCCAUAUCUCUUGACUAGAUUUUCAAAAUGAAGUCUUGUGGCCUCAUAAUUUUUAUCCUUCCUUGAUACUGGCAAAACAUAAAGAGUCAGUAGAAUAUAUGAGAAAUAACCACAGAGAAUAAAACAUGUGGGGAUACUUCACAUCAUACAUAUUAUGUCGGGUUUGAUAUUUAUCCGUGAGGUUUCUUGGGACCAGAAAAGAGGAAUUGAGCCUCGGUUCUGCACUACUGAACUUAUUUGUACUGGGCAUCCUUCAGGAGCAUCUUCAAUCACAACCUGCUCUGUCUCAACAUCGUUAGCAACACUACCUUUCUCAUUUAUACCUCUUUUCAAAUAUCUGCAGACAAUAGGGAGACAAUGAGAAAUAUCAAACCUAGAACGACAGGAGAAAGUUCAUUUGUGAGAAAAUACAAACAAUUUAUUCAGCUUUUAUAAAUCUGUACAAUAAAAGCACAUCCAAAUAUACGAUGGAUUUUACUAUCUUGUAAAAUCAGGGAAGAACUAACUAUAUUCCACGAUGAUCCUCAUAGACUACUAAGAGGGGAUGAAGAUAUGGAAAUAGGUCAUGCAGACGGGACCUUAAUAGUAUGAAAUACGUACAAAGAAUAUAGAGAAGUAAUUUGAACGUCUGGCAAUGAAAGUAUAAUUAUUAACAGAUGUUGAAACAUGCAGAAACAGUGUCCAAACCUGGUGCCAGCAAAGUGACGAGAACGCCUGGCAAUGACAGUCAACUUGAAAUCCCUGCCUGAUACGGAAAGAUUGACCUGGAUAUUGAAGCAUCAGGCCAUUAAUAUCAUAUAAACUUUCCAAUUGUACCAUAAGUAUAAAAUGAUGUGCAUAACAUUUCCUGAGGAAGAACUACUCAGGAUGAAGAAUCAGUUAAUAGUAACAAACAAACGUCCAAACUUGCAUAUUACAGUAACAUGAGAAACCAAGAUUUUACUGAAUGGCUACACUAGUUACAAAAAGCUAUAAAGGAAAAACAAAUCCACACUAGACAGUAAAAUAGAAAAAGAAGUCGCAACCUGUUAGUUAAAUCUCUAGUUAUAGCACAGCCACUGAAGAGUUCAGACUUAAUACCUGUUUGAAGAAUCCAUACACCAAGGCAACUGUCCAGUGAGUAUUCUUCAGACAAUUUCGGAUUCCACGAGUCAAAUACUCAUUCCAAACGAACAUUGUUUCGUAAAGGAAUGGUCCUGUUUUACUGUCGCAUAAGUUCUUUUGAAGACUACACAUUAUAUUGUAUGAGUAGCUGAAAAAGAAGUCCCUUGUCAGGUCCACUGUGCAUAAGAGCUUCUUGUAUCUACGCCCACCCAAAAACAGCAGAAAAUUAGAUCAAAGUCAUCAUUGAAUAGAUCUAUAGCUUAAUCAAAAGAGAAAUCAUAGAGAUAAAACAACUAUCAGGAAGUGCAAAUAUUAACCAGAAAAGGAAAGAAAACAAUCAGAGGAAAAAAUGAAAAUGACUUUCCAACGAAACCCUGAUGAUACCUUCUCUCAUUCAACAUCUUAUAUUAACAACGGCAAUGAAGUUUGCCCCUGCACAUUUGCAGGAAUGAACUGGCUAGCAAGUGGCAAUAGCCCCUAAAAGAACAGUAUAACCAGAAAAGGAUCUAACACAAACAUUUCAUAUUUAUCAAAAUAAUAUCUGUAAGAAUAUGAUUUACCAUUUAUCUUAGUAAAGACAAACUAUAACUACAAGAAGAACAAGAGCCAAGAUUGAUUCGACAAGGCCCACAUCAGUAAUUUCAUGUUGAAGGGUGUAUAACUAGUACAGGGAUUACCUCCAAAAUAAAGAAAUUUCUACUCCUAAAAUAUCAUAACACCAGACUAUUUGCCCAGAUGAGUUGAAUGAAACCAAAAUAACACUAUGACACGAUACUUAUCAAAGUACAAAUGGACAGUGUAAAAUUCUGAAAGCUACUCUCUUUAGAAGUAUCAGGUACAUAUUACAUUUACAUGCAGAAUGGACAAAAGACCUGUUCUCAUUUCUAGAAUAAGCCAAUUUUGACCGCACAGAAGAAUUUGGAACUGGAAUCAUUUCGCUCUUGCUAAUCCCGUAGAUGGUAUGGCCACAAAUUGCUCCAAUCUUCCUUCUUUUUGUAAUAAUAAGCAUGUAAUAAGGUCCAAGAAACUUCACGAACCCUAAAAUGAUUGGAGAACAUCUUGAGAAUUCAACUAAGAAGACAUAAGAUGUGCAAAGGUAUUAAAACAAGCAAAAAGACUUACCAAUAAUUCCAUAACAAAUGGUGAUGAACUUAAGUCCACCCAUUGACUUGUUUCCUUCAUGUAUCCGUUUCAGAAGGUCAUAGCACUCAAUAUCUGUGUAUGUUGCAGAAUCUUCAAGAAUGUUGAGCUCAGAUGGAUCCAACCUAUCAAUCUUUAACACCUUCCAUAAGGUUCUGCUUUUGUCUCUUCCUAUCAUAUAAAAAUUCUGUUGCACACAGGAGUACUAUUAGUAAAUAAUCAGGGUGAAACGAAGACACUACGGGAACAUAUACACACAUUUUCUCCAUUAUACAGUUGAAAACAGCAGCUUUCAAAAUCAAACCAGAUACAAGUGAAAACAAGUCCAAAAACAUGAGAAUUCCGAAGUCUUUAAGAUGAGGAGAAGAAGAUUGUGAGACAAGAACUCGAGCUGGGUUGCUCUGACAUUUCUAUCGAACUAGAUUGACAUCAAGUCAAAAUUUGCCUACACUCCUGAUUCGGUAUAAGAAACUAGCAGAUUCAAUACACAUGUCUGAUAAAUCUAAAGUCUAAGAUACAUGAACUUAUAAUUAGUACGCUCGAACAACCAAAUAAUGAAGUUGACCAAAUCAUUAUAUGUGCAACAACCAAAACCAAAAUCGAAACCUGUUUAAAUCUCAAAAAUGUGUUCGAAGACUCAAAACUGAAUUGAAAUGAGUUCAACACCAUAUUUUCUCAAGUCAAAUCCAGACUCACAAAACCAACAUUGGUAAGAUAGGCUUCUGAUCCAGUCAAUGCUAAUGACCAAAACACAACUCCAAAAACAGAACUCCAAUAUCAACAACAUUUCUGCAUCAAUCAAACACAAACACAAUCUAGGGAAAACAAGUAAUAAAGUUACCGAGCGAGUCUCGUAGAGCUUGAACUUCUGCAGAAAGCAAGGACUGGCGGGUUCGGGUUCUUGGUCGACCCGAUUCGGCAGCUCUUUCUCUGAAUUCAUGAUUCUGAAUCAAAACCCACCCGAGCCUCCAAAAAGCCCGGGCAAAAAGCUUUUGCUUUCAGAACCUGUGCACCACUUUAGACCAAGCAAACUCCUUCUUCAACUCCACAGAAUCUUUCAGACCCUGAAAUUUACUCUAUAUAUACAGCACCAUAUAUACAUAGACAUAGACACAGACAUAUAAAUAUGUACGUUACACAAUGAGAGAGAGACAGAGAGUCUGUAAAGAUUUUGUAUAUAUAUGUUUGAGAAAGUACAAAGCUUUGAUAGAAGAAGAAAGAAGAGAAACAAUUUACAAACAGAAAGAUGUUCUGACUCUCUGUGUUUUUUGCUUAUUAAGCAAAGCAGACAGAGAAAGCCUCAGAUCCUAAAGGAAGCAGAGAAAGCCAAUGACAGCUUCGGCUUUGUAUCCACAAAAAACAAUCAUUGGUUUUCUUUUUCCUUUUUUUUCUUUUCUUUUUUAUAGGGAAAUUUCAUUUUCUUGCUGGGUCAAAUUUAUAUAUUUUUGAAAUUUCUACAUAUUUCUAUGGGGAAAUAGCAAUCUCAGUGAGUCAACUCCAGUUUUACCAAAACUGAAUCACUUUUUUCUGGGAAUCAAAAUAAAUUGGAAAGACCGAAACUUUAUUUUACUGCCAGUGUUUGGGGAAUUCUGUCUUUUUUUGCAUUUUGUUUCUUUAAUUUUAUUGACUUGGCUGGACGUUUACAUCCCAAUAAUGAUUCACUUAUAAAAAAAAAGGGGACAUUUGUAUUAAACUGCAAAUCAUGGAAGGAAGAAUAUACUGAUAUGUGCUCUGAUAUGCCUUUCUCUGGCUCAUUUUGUCUCCUCCUUGAUAUAAAAUACCAGAUGAAUUGUAGUUUGUAUUGAAAUAUAUGUCUUCAUAAAUUACAUAACUCAUAUAAUUCACGGCGAAUUUUUGGUAAUUUGUAUUGAAAUACAUGUNNNNNNNNNNNNNNNNNNNNNNNNNNNNNNNNNNNNNNNNNNNNNNNNNNNNNNNNNNNNNNNNNNNNNNNNNNNNNNNNNNNNNNNNNNNNNNNNNNNNNNNNNNNNNNNNNNNNNNNNNNNNNNNNNNNNNNNNNNNNNNNNNNNNNNNNNNNNNNNNNNNNNNNNNNNNNNNNNNNNNNNNNNNNNNNNNNNNNNNNNNNNNNNNNNNNNNNNNNNNNNNNNNNNNNNNNNNNNNNNNNNNNNNNNNNNNNNNNNNNNNNNNNNNNNNNNNNNNNNNNNNNNNNNNNNNNNNNNNNNNNNNNNNNNNNNNNNNNNNNNNNNNNNNNNNNNNNNNNNNNNNNNNNNNNNNNNNNNNNNNNNNNNNNNNNNNNNNNNNNNNNNNNNNNNNNNNNNNNNNNNNNNNNNNNNNNNNNNNNNNNNNNNNNNNNNNNNNNNNNNNNNNNNNNNNNNNNNNNNNNNNNNNNNNNNNNNNNNNNNNNNNNNNNNNNNNNNNNNNNNNNNNNNNNNNNNNNNNNNNNNNNNNNNNNNNNNNNNNNNNNNNNNNNNNNNNNNNNNNNNNNNNNNNNNNNNNNNNNNNNNNNNNNNNNNNNNNNNNNNNNNNNNNNNNNNNNNNNNNNNNNNNNNNNNNNNNNNNNNNNNNNNNNNNNNNNNNNNNNNNNNNNNNNNNNNNNNNNNNNNNNNNNNNNNNNNNNNNNNNNNNNNNNNNNNNNNNNNNNNNNNNNNNNNNNNNNNNNNNNNNNNNNNNNNNNNNNNNNNNNNNNNNNNNNNNNNNNNNNNNNNNNNNNNNNNNNNNNNNNNNNNNNNNNNNNNNNNNNNNNNNNNNNNNNNNNNNNNNNNNNNNNNNNNNNNNNNNNNNNNNNNNNNNNNNNNNNNNNNNNNNNNNNNNNNNNNNNNNNNNNNNNNNNNNNNNNNNNNNNNNNNNNNNNNNNNNNNNNNNNNNNNNNNNNNNNNNNNNNNNNNNNNNNNNNNNNNNNNNNNNNNNNNNNNNNNNNNNNNNNNNNNNNNNNNNNNNNNNNNNNNNNNNNNNNNNNNNNNNNNNNNNNNNNNNNNNNNNNNNNNNNNNNNNNNCUCUCUCUCUCUUCUCUCUCUCUCUCUCUCUCUCUCUCUCUCUCUCUCUCUCUCUCUCUCUCUCUCUCUCUCCCCUUUCUUCGACGACGGACGUCGCGCAGCCUUGACGACGGACGCCGCCGUAGCCUUGAUGACGGACGUCGCCGUUGCCUCAACUUCGCAAGGCGGUUCAAAUUCCAGAGUUUCUUCUUCUCUACAGAGACGAAACCAGAGCUUCCAAGCUUGAUCGGAAAUGGAGAGUCUCCGUUUACAGACCUCUUCCGUCGUCUUGUGGCUGCGCACUGCUUCGAUCCUCGUCGUUUUUGUCAUUUACGGCAACUCCGACGCUCCAAUCGAUUCCUCCGACUCCAAAUCGGACCUUCCCGUCUCCAUUGCGAUUCUAAUGGUUCAGCUUCGUAGCAAGGUCAUCACCACCACCGCCACAUCAUCCGUUUUCGACAAUCAUAAAAUAGUACUCAGCUCCAGUAAUAAUCAAUCUACUACUACUCCUCACUUACUCCCCAACCAAACUCCACCGGUAAACUUUGAUCCUUCACCUCUCUCUCUCUCNNNNNNNNNNNNNNNNNNNNNNNNNNNNNNNNNNNNNNNNNNNNNNNNNNNNNNNNNNNNNNNNNNNNNNNNNNNNNNNNNNNNNNNNNNNNNNNNNNNNNNNNNNNNNNNNNNNNNNNNNNNNNNNNNNNNNNNNNNNNNNNNNNNNNNNNNNNNNNNNNNNNNNNNNNNNNNNNNNNNNNNNNNNNNNNNNNNNNNNNNNNNNNNNNNNNNNNNNNNNNNNNNNNNNNNCUCUCUCUCUCUUUCUCUUUUUCUUCGAUGACAGACGCUGCCGCAGCCUUGCCGGAGCAUGUUCUGCAGAGUGAGGUGCGCCGGGGUCGGUGAAGGAGGCCGGUGUGCUCGCCAUCGGGGGAGGUGGGUGUCCAGAAAAGAAAUAUGGGUGGCCAGAGCAUGACCUCAAGGCAGUUACUAGUUUUUUUUUUUUUUUUAUCCUUACAUUUGAAUAUUGGGGUAGUAAGUGAUUAUUGGGGUCAGUAAGUUAUUAUUUGAGGUUUGUAAUCUGAUUUGAUUAUUAAGGGACAGUAAGUGAUUAUUGGGUGUCAGUAACUAAUUAUUGGGGGUCAGUAACUAAGUUAUUAGGGGUCAGUAACUAUUUAUUGGGAGAUCAGUAGCUGAUUCUUGGGGGUCAGUAACUGAUUAUUGGGGGCAAUAACCAAGUUAUUAGGGGUCAAUAACUAAUUAUUGGGGGUCAGUAACUAAGUUACCAGUGACGGGAACUCGGCGACCGGAGAAAAUUUGAGUUACUGGGGGUCAGUAAUUGAUUAUUGGGAGUCAGUAAUUGAUUAUUGGGGGUCAGUAACUGUGGGGGUCAGUAACCGAGUUACCGGUGACCGGAAUCCAGAGGUCGUUGACUAGAGCCCGGCGACCGGCGACCGGCGACCGGCGACCGGAGUCCGGUGAGGUUCCGACCAAUUAUUCUCUCUCUUCCACUUUCUCUCUCUAUGCAUGUUUACGGGGUGAGAGUAAAAUUGUCUUAAAAUAAUAUAGUUUGUUAAGACUUUAGCAAAUAUUUGUGCAUUUGGACAUAAAAAAUGUUACCUUAUAUUUAAAUGGGCUAAUGUAAAAGAUUAUCAUUGGAAUGAGAAAUGAGAGGUUUGAAUUAGUACUAAAUAGGCAUUUUCCUAAAAUUUUAUAAUAAAGAUUCUCUUGAUUCGACUUCCACCUCUUUCAACGGUAAGAAACUUAUUUUCAUUUCAUAAAAUUAAAUACUUAAAUGAUUUAUAAUUGUAUGGAUUGUCUACAUGCAUUUUUUAAAAUAGUUUUAGUAUGUAAUUUAAGAUAUAUAAAGAAAAUCCGUUGUCUCUAAAUGUACUGUUCAUGUGGCAGUUCAUGUUUUUACUGCAAUGAUCGGAGUCAAUGUCGUUCUCGAUUUUCAGACUUGAAAAGAAGAAUGACCUGAGGCCCUGAGCCUGCCAUUUCCUAAAUUACCAUAAAUAGAUAAAAAAGAAGAAUUACCGUAAAGGAUAUUUUCAUAUUUAGAUUCACACUCUGACACUUCCUCCUAUCCUAAGUAUGUAAUGUAGGGUCGAGCCAUAUACACUUAAUUUUGUAUAUGUCUUAAAACUUAUGACAAAAAUGAAAAAGAAUAACAAAAAAAUAGAGAAAUUUUAAAUACACACUUCUAAUCUCUUAAUACACACCUCUAUUAUUUUAUAUUUCACAUCAGAUUUUAUAGAUAUAUUUAAUUACAAAAAUAUCUAUCAAUUAUUAAGGAAAAAAAAGAAAAACAAAUGAAACUUCAUCUUCCAUAAAACCUAACUCUUCUCCACUAUUACUACGUAUCAAAAUAAAAGAAAUAAAAAUCUCUUCUCCAAAAUUCAUCACCUAAAUUUCGAUUACUGUCGUAAGCACAUGUAUUAUUUACCGAUUCAUCCAUCUUCCCUAAAACCUAACUCGAUCUUCUCCACAAUCACUAUGUAUCAAAAGAAAAGAAAUAAAAAUCUCUUCUCCAAAANNNNNNNNNNNNNNNNNNNNAAGAGAAUACGUAAAGAGAGUUGUGAAAUAGUAAAUAUAUAAUAAUUAUAUUAAAUAACAGAUUAUUAUUAUUUUUAGAUAUUGAGGGUAUUUUAGGCAGUUUAGGAUGUGUAUUUAGUAUAAUAUUGAAAUAAAAAACUAGAUGAGUAGUGUAUUAAGUAAGGGUAUGUAUUAAGAGAUUAGGGGUAUGUAUUUAAAAUUACUCAAAAAACAGGGUUUGAAUUUUUUUUUUUAAAAACCGUCUUGAAGCUUUAUGAAAAAAAUGUUUUGAGGCGAUACUUACACGUAUUUGAUUAUCUAAAAUGAUAAUUAUAAUGGUUUUGGCUUAUGAACAUAGAUGCAUGUUGGAUUUGAUUAGUUGUAUAAUUCAACCGACUGAAGCAUAAGAAAUGACCUAAUUCAGAAGUGGGUAACCCCAUUCAACACGUUUAGCUGCAUCCACCAUGACCACUUCUCAAUUCUAUUUCUCACACAGUACCCAUAUUUCCAAUCUUCUUCCAUCCUUAUCUUUCAUUAUCUUUGCCUCCCCUGCACGGAAAGAAAAAUCUUCAUCAAAUUAUUGUGGAUAGACUUGAAGCAUGGCCGUCUGAGCGUACUCCUCCUCCUCCUAGGGUUUCUGAGGAGGACGACGACAAGGUCUACCUGGAGGUUACUUGUCAACGUGUCCAAAUCUAAGACGUAGCUGGAGACAGACGAGUUGAUGAUGUGGAGUUUCGUGAACCUUUCCUCUCCAGCACGUGAUAUUUAUUCCAGAUUAUCUUCGACAGCGACGCCACCUGUGGUUGGUCAAAGCAAUCAUUCUUGUACUCGCAGCAACGCCAUUCGUUUCUAUACUCGCUUUCUCAGCAAUAUAUAUAUUAUCAGCAUUUUUCAUGCAUCCUAAAACGUUUGUAAUUCAUUCGAAACUCGAAAGAAAUGGGAUUUUUCAUGAUCUUCAUCAGAUAUGUAAAUUAUGGACAUCAGCUAAUGGAAAUAUAUAUGACGUGUAAGAAUUAAAUUUACAUAUAUAAAAAGAUUAUAAGAUGAAAGAUAUAUAGCUAGGGUUUUGGCACAUCAUUCAGGUUGUGGAAUUAAUGUUACAGAAGCUAGCUAGCUUUCUUAAUUGAUAAGGGUAAUCCGGAAAAUAUUUCAUAGAGUUGACUAGAACAUUUCUAAUUUAUAGCUCUCUUGGCACUUGCACAUUACUAGUCAUAAACUUCAGAAGAAAGUUAACAAGAUUAUUGGUUUAUCCUUUCCAUAUUCCUUUCAAUGCCGAUAAACUUGAUUUUGAUCGAUAGUGAAGAUGUCUUCAUCAUGAUAGGGCUUGGAUGGGUUUCAAUUCAUUCUCACUAAUAAUACAGGGUCGGUUGCGGUUGCAAGAUAAAAAUAUUUGACGUGUGUAAUUGUGUUUCAAAUAAGGGACCUUUCAAAUAACAAAAGCCUCAUACGUUGAAUUAUGGCUUGAUCUAGGUACAAUAAUGUUUGAAUAUCAAUUGUGUACUCACCAAAACUCUCUCGAAAGCCUCACAUGCAUGCUCUUCUCUCACUUGUUACCGUGUUUUUUCUUUUGCAGAAAAACAACCAAAUAACUUUUUAGCUAUCAAAUUUGUUGUUAUUUUAGGUCAUGUACUUGACCAUCUUUGUAUUUUCAGUAACUUUCCAAGGAGGUGUAUGUUGUGAUAUCUUUGAUAUUUAUGUAUCGUUUUAAAGUCUAUAAGGGAGAUUUUUGUUUUCUUUAUUUCCUCUCAUGGAAAAAUGAGGUAUCUCGAUCACUCCUAACAAAUAAAAGACUUUGAAAACAUAUAUGUUAUGAGGGUAAAAAGAAAGACAUGUCUUCGAUAAUAGUUAUUGUUUGAUGAAAAUCUUAUCUUAGGUAGGUAGACUACACAUGGAAAUGGAAAGAUCGGAGAAAAUAACAUCACACUUGUCGGCAUCAGAUUUUAGCCUAAAAUCUGAGAUGUAUGAAUAGCAUAUUUCCAUAUAAUUUCAUUGUUUGGGCAGCGAGUUGUGUUCCGAGCGAGGCUUAGCAUUACGUGGUGGACCUCUGCUUGCAUUUGCAUUAGAAAAAGACUCGUAUAAAUUUCGAGAGAGCAAUAAUUGAGAGAGUGAGAUCAGUGAAAGCUAAGUGCUUCAUAUUAAUCAUGCUUUGCGUAAAAUUGUCAAAGAAGCCUUUCUAAAGAUUUCUAACCAAUCUGAUGAGUGAAGUGGGACUCUGUCUGGGAGAGGUUGAGUUCUUUGGAUUCUCCAUCAACCUAAUCGAGCAUAAAAUUUUAGCAUCCAACUUUUGACAGGUAGAGCAUAUAUAUCAGAUAGAGAUGAACGUCCAUGACUGUGUUUUCCAACGGGGAAGUCGUGGCUCUCCAGAACAAGUCUCUAUCUUCUUUCUAUCUUUUCCAAUUUGUGGCAUAUAACUUUUGCGACUUCAUUCUCCAAUCUACAUCUUCAUCAAUCCUCCUUAUGUGCAUACAAACAAAUUGGCUCUUUCGCGUGUAGCAUAUGCAUACAUAAACUGGUUCGACACUUAUUGUGGAGCAACUAGUCGCCAUGCCAGUGAAGUGAUCGAACCAUUCUGGCAGAAAAGUCACCACAAAGCUCGACGAUAUUAUAAUUUCUAUUAUUUGUCAUUGAUUUUUCUUCUGUACAAAUUUUGGAGGAAAUGAUUUAUUCAAUCAAUCGUAUUAAGAAGAGCUAUUGCUCGAACUUGUAUUUCUGUUACGUCGUAGAAAAUCGACUUUAACCUAAUCAUAACCAAAUCCUCCAUCUUCGUCGAGUAAUCCCAAAAACUUUCCCAUGCAUGAUCUUUAGAGUAGAUCCUUCCUCUCUUUAGAAACCAAACUGAAAAUGUCCCAAAACAAUAGAAUCAAACUGAAGAAACAUGAAUCCUUGCAUCAUUACCGGGCAUAUAUAUAUAUAGGUAUUAAAUUGAAGAGGGGUUUCCGAAUUUAUUAUUAAGGUGAUCAAAUAUAAGGUUGAAGGGUCAUCUGUAUAUCUGAGGCAUAUAUCUUUUAUGUACCAACUCCACCAACCUGUAAUGGUUCUCCACUAACUUCCAACUCACAUAUAUAUUGAGAAUCAUAUAUAUGCUGCACGUACCUUUUCUGGUUCAAGGCAAAGAGUAGCUAUUCUAUCUACACACAAAAUUGGAUCAUCAAGACAUAUACAUAGGCCAUGUUUUUUUCUUUUUUCUUUUUGCUAUAAAUGAAAUUUCAUUAGAAGGGACAAAACCCAGUCCAGUCCCCAAACAUAGGUACUAGAAGGAAUGAGAUCCCUCACAACAUCAUCAUUUUCUCCAUCAACAAGACCUAGAAGAAACCAUGACAGUCGACAAAGAUCCAAGAUCCCGAGCAAAGAACCAAAACAAAGAGCAAUAACAAAUAUAUACCAUGCUUGUUGAUAAGAUAUAACAUCCCUCAUAACCCUACAUUGUCCUUUUGGGAUACCAUAAGACCAUAUGCUUAGCACAAAGUGUACCAAUUAAUAAUGAACUGGGGUUUAAAUGGGGUUUAUAGAAUAAACCUCUAUGAGUUUUAUAAACCUGAUAUCUAGACAUGGGGGACUGUGGUUUCACAUCUCUAGGUAUAACUGAUGAAGAAAACAUUGCAUGAUCUUUUAGUACUCAGUGUUUGAAGCACAUGUGUGGGGGCAAAUGUUGUCUUCUUCCCUACUUGUUCUGUAACAAAAAUGUGGUCCUGUGUGGAUUGCAGAGACCCUCACUUCAAGUUUCCAGAAUAUGAUUAAGUGGUAGCCCUCACAGGCGUGAUUGAAAAAGAUACCAAAACAAUAGGAUAGUUAUAUAUACAACAUGUGAUAAAUUAAGGAAAUUUUCGAUGGCUUCCAAGAUGAACAUCUAAAACCCCUCUAAAAAUCACAAAUUUAGGACUGAUAAUGAAAGAGGUUUUAAGAACUACUGAGCAGUCUUGACUCAUAAGGCUUCUGAAGUGCAUAUCAGGUUAGAAUCAAGAUUGUUCAAAUAGCUGUUUCAUAGUGUAAGGCCCUGUGACAUCUGAAGGUCCAGUCCAUAUAAGCUCAGCUAGUUGGAGAUUGGCACUUUCAGUUGUAUGACCACCAUCAAACCACACAUACUCACUGGGGUUGCUGCAUAGCUCGUAUGGUUCUGUGCCACAAUGAGACCCUCUAAAUGCCCCACUGCCACAACAAGCAGAUGUCCCAUUCUUGAAUCCUUCACAAUUCAGCAAUCAAAACAAGAAUUAAAAUUAGGGUUUCUUAAUCCCGCUUUUAGUAUCCGAAACGCUAGUUUAUCUUGAUUAGAAUUCGGAUACUUAAACUGAGACAACAGUAAGCAAUGCUAGCAAAAGACCAUAUCAGUGAAAUGAAUGAUGCAGCGUACCAUAUUUUGAAGGAUUGUUAACUCUGUCCCCAAGUGCAUUAUAGUAAUCAAAUAUGGAGUACUUGAAUCCUGGUAAAUGGCUCUCCAACUUCUUGAGGGCAGCAGAGAGAGCUCUGUUAUGUAGCCUGGCCAAUUUUAAUGGUUCUUCAAGGCAUUCACUACCAACUUCAGGAUUUCCUGAUUUCACUGCAGGUAUGCAGCCCAAAGGUGCCACAUUCUGAAAUGCUAUUUUCCUUCCUCCUAACUCAUACACUUCCUAUCAAUACAAAGAUGAAUCAGUUCACAUAAAAAAUCCAAGGUCCAUUGCAGCAUAGUGGAUGUUCUUACUUUGAGUACACUGGUCAAGUUUCUGAUCACCAUUCCUACAUAUUGCCUCUUGUAGCUCUUAGGAGCUUUUGGCUGUUGGGUAAAGAGGUUAAUGUAGUCAUUUCCUCCAAUGCUGAAGAAAUAAACAGCUCUCCCUAACAACUUCUUGGACACUUUUUCACCCAAUUUCUGAUGCAGUGACCUCUUCAUAUCCUUAAAAUUGCUCAACUGAUUUGGAAGACUUAUCUGGGAAACCAAAGGGACAUCCAUCUCUUAUAUAAGAAAAAUAAAACAUGAAAGCCACUUAAACUGAACAUUUUGGUAACAAAGUGAGUUUCAUGAUUGAACCAAUUAAUUUAUUCUGAUCGAUAUAGAAUCUAUCAAGACUCAACAUGCCAAACUAGUUCAGCUAACUUUCAUAUACCCUAAGUUAAGGACUGAGCAAGACAUAUAGACUUAAUUGACUUUUGAACUAGAAAAGUGACUGUUACACACCGUUCCGGGUUGAGUUUCAGGCAGAACACCAGCUCCGGCAGAAGCAAAGUUGGUUCCAUCGCUAAAUUGAUGAGCACCAGGUUCCAAGUAUGGUGGCGGCAAAGGAAGAUUAGCAAACUGAGCUGCAGCCAUCAAAUCAAGCAACUAAUGAUUAUUCAAGAAAACAAAUAACUCAUAUAAUUGACAGAUCAUCUUACCAAUAAAAUCAGGGACAAUGCGGCCGUCGGAGAUUCGACCAGUGGGAUGGUCGAAGUAAGUUUCCCCAUAUGGCCAGAUAACUGCAGACCCUUCCACACUGGUAUUCAGGUAUUGGUUGUUUCCGGCAUCGAAGAGUGAGUCACCAAACACAAACAGGGCCUUGUGGGUUGCUUCUGGUGUGGAUCGGUGAGAAGAGAAGCUUACUGGGUCGAAGUUGAUCAGGGUUAGUAACAGAGAGUAGAGGUAUCCAAAACUAGCCAUGGUGAGUGACUUCAGGUGUUCAGUAGUAGUAGACUAACAGUUGGGGAUCUUUUGUAUAUGAUUUCAAAUGGGGUCAUCUUCUGCAACAACAGAGGAGCAACUACAUAUUUAAUAACUUAUAUUAUUCUGGUUAGUGUGUCUUUGACGUGAAUAAUGAAAGUAGAAAGCACUUGACCAAAAGAAAAAUUGUAACUGGUUCUGUUCCAGACUUCCAGUUGAUGAGUGAUGACUUGUCGGUAUGAGGUCAUUUUGGUAGUUCAAUACACCAAUCGCAAAAUGAUUUAUUUAUUUAUUUCAUCUUUUCUAAGUUUUAUUUUCACCUUAGCAUGCUUUGGAGGUUUUUAAUAUUUCAAUAUUCAUUUUACAUCUAUGAAUUUUUUUUUGAGUGUCGAUUGAAGUAAUGUCAAUGUUGAAACUUGAGACUUUUGAAUACUACUAUUACUAUAGAGUAUUUUGAAUAUCUUAAUUAAUUAGUGAUGUAGAAUAUAUGAAGAUAAAGAUUAAAGAACAUAUUGAUUGUGGCAAGUUCAAACCUGGUUUGUUCCAGAUUUGAAAUUCGGUGUCUGAUUGCUAAUUAUAAUACAUUUUCAGAAACGGAACGGCGAUACAAGUCUAAUACGUCGCUUUGCCUUGACGUAUGAGCUUUUUCGAUCAUCUGAGCCUGUUUAAAGCAACUCCAACAAAAGAGUCAAAUCCACGUGGCCACCUAUAACGGUAAUAAAUGACAAUUUUCAACAAUCCAACCAACCAGUUAAAUCCGACAUGUAAAUGACUCUUUGAUUCGGUCGGUCAAGUUUGACACAGCCAGAUGAAAUGAUCUUUAUUUUUUAUUGUUUCUUCUCUCUCCUUCUCUUCGUUUCUUCCACCAUUCUCUAUGUGAAACCAAUCAUCUUCCAUUAUUAUAUUAAUUUAUUUUAACUUGUUGGUUGAAGUGUAAAAUUUAUCAAAUAGUCAAAUCCAGGUCAAAUUUCAAAUUUGACAAUUUUUUUGACUACAUGAAUGGAGUUGCUUUUAGGGCCUCAAAAUGCAGAUUUACUUGUUUUAAUAUUGUCUUUAAUAUUUUAUUUUUCUAAGUUUGUUCUGCAUUUGUUUUUCUUUGUAAUCAGUGCGGUUUUAGGCUUAGUUGUUAGUUGCCCUAGGAGUUUAUUUUUUUAUAUAAGGACCCUUAAUCUGUUGUAAUCGUCAUCUUUCAUAUUAAUAAAAACCAUGAGAUUUUCUUAAGUUUUCUUGUGGAUUCGAGAAAUCCUAGACUUGUGGAUUCAAGUUCACCAAACCCUAGACUUGUGGAUUCAAGUUCACCGCUGGUGAAUUCCAACGUGAUAGUUCCGCUGCAUCAAUUAGUAGAACCGACCACAUCCAAUCGGUGAGACAACUCCAUCUAAAACAUAUACUUAGUUUGAUAGUUUUGCUAAAGGGGUACGGCUAGUUCAUUAACAUAGUAAAAGUUACAUAUAAAUAGCUCACCUAAAGGGGCUACAACAAAAUUUAGUCAUCCGUAGGCCCUAACUAAUUGGAUUGAAACCAAGAUAUACAAUACAUAGGCAACCUAAUACGCAACUUGUACUAAAUUAAACCAAUUAAAGCAAAGCAACACAAGGGUUGUGAUGCUAGAGACUGAACUUGAACGAAACCAAAUACUGCCCCAACUACAUUAGUUCGAUGGUUGAGAAUGAUACAUAAGUAAUGGUUGAAAAUGCUCACGAGAAAGGUGAUGGCUUUGUGAUUGAGAAUGUGCACAAUACUCACCUGGUGGCUAGUAAUAUAAGUAUGAAUGUUUCUGCUGGCCAUGCUAAUGAGGUUGAUGAGGUUGAUGAGGAUGAUGAGGAUAAGGAUGAUAUUGAUGAUUCUAGCGUUGAGGAAAUAUACGAGGAUGGUAGUGGUCAUAAUAAUCAUAGCUUGGAGAGUACUUGUAAUUCUCCACAGAGUCAAAGUUGGCAUGACACGGUAGUGGAGGACCAAUUUAUUAAUCAAACUGAGGUUUCCACAGGUGCAGUCCCCCCUGGUUUUGAGCAUGUGGGUGUUUUAGCAAAAGAUGUUUCUUUAAUAACUAGCCAUGUUGAGAAAGGAGUUCUAGUGGAGGACGAUUUUGUUAAGGCUCUUUCAAAAUCACAGAAGAAAAAACAGAAACAACAAGCCAAGCAUGUUGUUGCUGCUGCUGCUAGUGAGGGUCCCUAUCCAAAAAGGGACAGGAAAAAAAAAUCAAAAGUAUGCAUAAUGAAGGUUCUUUAUUGGAAUAUUAGGGGAGUCGGUAACUCUGACUCUCAAUCUGAACUUUCAAAUAUUUGUCGUAUUUAAAGACCUGAUCUGGUUUGUAUUUCUGAGCCGAUGGUAGCCUUUGACUCAAUCUCUUCAGCAUUCUGGUCUGCUUUAAAUUUGGACUUUGUUACGGUUAAUGAUCGAGGAUCCAGGCUUCCAAAUCUUUGGUUGCUAAGAGGUCGUCAUGUUCCUAGUCCAGUGAUCAUAUCUAACACGGAGCAACAAGUUACUAUUCAGGUUUCUUUUGAUAACGAGCUUAGUCAAUUUUCUUUUGUUUAUGCUUCUACUUCUUACAUUAAGCGCAGGGAUUUAUGGCAUGACUUCUCAGUAAUUAGUGCUCAAACCACUGUCCCCUGAAUGGCAAUUGGUGACUUUAAUUCUGUGUUGGGAGCUCAUGAGAAGUCAGGGGGUCCUCCUCCAUCUCGUAUUUCUUGCUUGGAGUUCCAGAAUAUGUCAGAUGCUUGUGAUUUUGUCCAUUUAGACACUGUAGGUGCCCGUUUUACUUGGACAAAUGGUUGUGGAACUAGGGUGCAUGUGGAGCUUCGAUUAGACAGAUUCCUUUGUAGUACUAGUUGGUUUGAAGCAUGGCCUUAUUCUAGUUGUAUUGCCCUGCCUCGGGUAGUCUAUGAUCACACUCCUUUAAUUUUCUCUGCUUCAAAGCUCUCCCCAUGUGGUCCAAAGCCUUUUCGGUUUCAGUCCAUGUGGUUGAAUCACCCUACUUUUCGUGACACAAUAGCUACAUGUUGGACUUCUAGUAAGUUUUGGGGCUGGCCGAUGUAUGUCAUUGUGCAAAAAUUGAAGGCCUUGAAAUCUUGCUUGCGAAAUUGGAAUAAAAUGGUAUUUGGGGAUGUCCAUCAGAAUGUUAAUAAGGCUCGUGAAGCUUUAUCUGCAAUUCAGCAGGACAUUGCUAUUCAUGGUAUGACUGACCAAAAAUUUGAAGACGAGGUUGAUGCAAAAUUUCGUGUUUUGAAUGCGGUCAAGAUGCAAGAAAGCUAUUGGAAGGAUAGAGCUCGAGUAAAAUGGCUCACGGAUGGGGAUCGUAGUACUUCAUUUUUCCAUGCCUAUGCCAAGGUUCGUUCUGCUAGUGCCCGUAUGUUUUCAAUUCAUGAUGGAGAAAGGAUUCUUUUUGAACCCUCAGAUAUUGUAGCUCAUGUAGUGGGGUUUUAUCAAAAUCUUUAUUCUUCCUCCUCUACUCCAAGGAAUCUAGAUGAGGUAUGCUCUGUUAUUCCUUCUUUGGUCACCAAUGCAGAAAAUGAUUGGCUUACAGUAAUCCCUUCUACUGAAGAAAUCAAAAAUGCUGUCUUUGCUAUGGAUGCUUCCAGUGCACCUGGCCCCGAUGGAUUUCCAGGUUGUUUUUAUCAAUCUUGUUGGGAUAUUGUCGGUUCAGAUGUUGUUGCAUGUGUAAGGCAAUUUUUUAUGCAAAAUUGGCUGCUUCCUAACAUAAAUUGCAACUUCUUGGUUCUUCUUCCAAAAGUUCAGGAUGCCCAUGAAAUUACUCAAUUUCGGCCGAUUACCUUAGCCAACUUUCUUUUCAAGAUAAUUCUAAAGAUCUUGGCUUCUCGUUUGGGACCAAUUGCUGCUCGUAUAAUAUCUCCAGAGCAAGGUGCUUUUAUUCCAGGUAGGCGGAUUACUAGUUGCAUUGGCACAGUGUCUGAAUGCUUUAAUCUCCUUGAUCGCAAGGCCUACGGUGGUAAUGUGGGGAUCAAAGUGGAUAUUGCUAAAGCAUUUGAUACGCUGCAUUGAGAUUUUCUACAUAGAGUCCUCAAGAAUUUUGGGUUCUGUAAUAUUUUCACCAGUUGGAUUAUUACUAUUCUUAAGUCGGCAAGGUUAUCAAUCUUAAUUAAUGGUUCUUCUCGUGGGUUUUUCUCUUGUUCUCGUGGUGUGAGGCAAGGGGAUCCUCUUUCUCCCUUAUUAUUUUGUCUUGCCGAAGAAGCUCUCAGCCGUGGUUUAUCUAUGUUACUUGGUUCGGGUCAAUUGAAGCCUAUAUCUUUUCCUAGAACCUGCACUCCCCCUUCUCAUGUUUUAUAUGCAGAUGACCUUAUUGUUUUUUGUCGUGGGGAUAAAUUAUCUCUUAGCCAUUUGAGAAGGUUUUUUGACCGUUAUAGUGCAGCUUCUGGUCAAUAUAUUAAUGCGGCGAAAAGUACUUUUUACCUUGGUGCCAAGUAUCAUCAUAGGCAAGCAACAAUUCAACGAAUAUUGGGGUUCCGUGCAGGUCGAUUGCCUUUUAUUUAUUCGGGUGUCCCAAUUUUUUGUGGCAAGCCCCGGAGGUGUCAUCUUCAAGUUAUUGCUGAUAAAGCAAAAUCAAGACUUAUGGGUUGGCAGGGACGGCUUCUUUCUAUAGCUGGUCGGACUCAAUUGGUGCAAUCAGUUUUUCAAAGUAUGUUGCUUCAUAGUUUUUCUGUGUAUCAGUGGCCGGUGUAUUUGGUGAAGAAGCUAACUUCAUGGGCAUGAAACUUUAUUUGGUCUGGUAAUAUAGGGACUCGGAAAAUCGUCACUAUUCGCUAGGCUCAGGUUUGUGCCCCAAAGCUGGAAGGUGGGCUUGGUAUUCGUGAUCUUUCCUCUCUUAAUUCAGUUGCUAUCUUAAAGUUUGCUUGGGAUUCUUUCUCUUCUCAUUCUCAAUGGGGGGAUUACGUAUGGUCAAGGUAUCCUAUUCUAUCGCCUGCAAGCUGGGCUAUCGCAAAUCCUCAAUUUGGCUAGGUUUUCGGUCGGUUGCUUCUGGUUUUAGACAAAAUUGUUGAUGGUUAAUUGGAGAUGGUAAAACUGUGUGUUUUUGGAAGGAUAAAUGACUUCAAGCUCCUAUUUUGGAGACUUUGGGUAUCUCAAAUUGGUCUUAUUUCAGCAAUCUUCAUGUCGCAGAUUUUAUUUCUCAUUAGUCAUGGCAGCUUCCUCCUUUCUUUUGCCAAACUUUUCCGUUCUUGGCUAGGCAGAUUUCAGAUUUGGCACUCCCUCUUAUUGAUGAGUCAGAUAUGCUUAUUUGGGAGCCCUCUACCUUCGGUGAGUUAACUUUUUCUGUUGGGUAUAAAUUUCUGAGGCACCACAACACUGUCAAAGAUUGGGCUUGUAAUGUAUGACGAUCAUUCAUCCCACCUCGUUACUCUUUUUUGGUCUGGAGAAUUCUUUUUGAUCGGCUUCCAACUGAUGAUAGAGUGAAAAUUAGCGGAAUUCCUAUUGUGACUAUCUGUCAGUUAUGUUAUUGUUCUGGUGAGACAUCAUUGCAUUUAUUUUUACAAUGCUCUUUUUCCCAACGGGUCUGGAGAUGGUUAGCUGCUCAAUUUGACACUUUUUUAUCUUCUUUCAACUCCCUGAUAGAUUUUUAGAAGAGCUAUUGUUGAAAGCCUUUCUCCUCGCAGCUUUUUAAUUUGUGGCUAGUAGCUGGCAUGUUUACUUUCAUGGCUCUAUGGAAGGCUCGGAAUAAGCUAAGGUUUGAUAAUCGAUCCCCUAAUUUUUAUACAAUGUGUUGCUCUAUUAUGGCAUGGAUUCGUCAAAUUAGCCUUUUUGCUCCUGCUCACUAUAAGGGUGUUCUUGAUGCCCGUUUAUUGGCCUCUCUUGGAGUUGCUCCUAAAGGUGGUAAGGCUCCUAGAAUUCAACAUGUCUUAUGGCAGCCUCUGUUUUUUCCUUGGAUCAAAGUUAACACAGACCGUUUAGCAAAAGGCAAUCCAGGUCCAGCAGCUUGUGGGGGUGUGUUUCGUGAUGCCUCAGGUGGGUUUUUAGGGAGCUUUUGUCAUUCGCUUAGAUGGAAUACUUCCUUUUAUUCUGAAUUUUAUACUGUUAUUUUGGCAAUUGAAAUUGCUCAUGAUAAAGGGUGGGCCUACUUAUGGUUGGAAAGUGACUCUGUUAGUGUGGUAGCUUGCUUCUCUUCCAGGUCUUUUUCUCCUUCGUGGAACUUAAGAGUUCGUUGGAAUAACUGUCUUUCUAUAAUUCGUCAAAUGAACUUCUGUUGCAGUCAUAUUUUUAGAGAAGAAAAUAUGGUAGCUGACAAUAUGGCAAACUUGGGGUUGUCAAAUGCUUCAUUUACUUGGUAUGAUAAUCCUCCUACUGAGCUUCAUGGUUUCUUGCAAGCGGAUUAUUUGGGUAUCCCUAAUUAUCGGUUUUCAUAGUGGGAAGAUUGCCUGGUUUUUUAUGGGUAGAAGAAACAAUGUCUUUUUGUAUGUUGUUUUGGUUUGUAAUUGGAAUGGUUUUGGCCUAGUCCCCCAUUCCUCUUUUCAUGUAAUUUUUUUUAUUAUUUUAAAUAAAAUUUCUGAUAAAGGACGGGCGGUGGGUUCCUGGUUGUAGCGGUUCCUUUUGGGGUAGAGUGGGUGCUCUGUCACCCACCAGACUGCUACAGAGGAGCUGAUAUCGUCUAAUCUUUGUCGGUUAAAAAAAAAAAAAAAACACGUAGUUCAGCCAAAGGAAAUUAUAUUAUUGUGUGAGAGGCUGAGAUUUACAAAAUGACAUCUACAGAAUCCUCCGAAGGCAAGUCUCUAAAGAAGCUGAAAUGCAAUCAUGUCGGCUAUAGUACAACAAUCAAAGAGGCUAAGAACUUUGAAAAGUCAAAACUCUUAUAAGGUACUUAAUUAGGCUGUUAACUGAAUCAAGCAAGCUCAAAUAGUUGUUUCACAGUGUAAGGCCCUGUGAAAUUUUGUGGUCCAUUCCAUAUAAGUUGAGCUAGCUGGUGGUUGGCACUUUCGGUUGUAUGAGCUCCAUCAAACCACACGUACUCAUUAGGAUUGCUGCACAGUUUAUAUGCUGUCCCAUUCUUUCCACCACCACAAUUAGACCCCCUGUAUGCUCCACUUCCACAACAAGCAGCCUUUCCAUCCUUGAAACCUUCAUAAUUCAACAACCGAAAGAGAUGCUAGAAUUAGCUAGGGUAAGCUAAUAGCUUCUUAUACCGGAACAUUGAGAAUUCGGGUCUCAAUUUAGUACCCGUGAACUCUAAUGUGUCCCAAUAUACUUAGUUGCUAAACAAAAAUGAUCGAGAUGAACUGAUACAUGGUCAAAGUUCAGUUUAAUGAAUGAUAGAGUGUACCAUAUUUUGAAGGGUUGUUGAUUCUGUCCCCAAGUGCAUUGUAGUAGUCAAAUAUUGAGAAUUUGAAUCCGGGUAAGCUCUUCUCUAACUUCUUGAAAUUACUGAAUAGAACUCGGUUGUGGAGUCUGGCUAGUGUUAAUGGUUCUUCAGAACACUUACUACCAAGUGCAGGAUUCAUUGCCUUUGUUGCCGGUACGCAUCCCAGAGGUCCUACAUUCUGAAAUGCAAUUUUCCUUCCUCCUAAAUCAUAGAUUUCCUGUAACAUGAAAGUUAAAUUAGUCUUACGUUCAAACUAAAAAAGUAAAACAAAAGUUUCAUAGUAGAUGCAUGUUCUUACUUUGAGCACACUGGUCAUGUUUCUGAUCACCAUUGCUACAUACUGUCUCUUGUAGAUCUGUAGAGCUUUAGGGUUUUUAGAAGCGUAGCUGAAGUAGUCAUUUCCUCCAAUGCUGAACAAAUACACAGCUCUGCCCAGCAACUUCUUGGUUUCCUUAGCACCCAGUCUCUGGCUCAGUGACUUCUCCAUGGCCUUAAAGUAGCUCAAUUGAGUUGGGAAGUCUAUCUGAAAAAUCAAAGAAAAUAGUUCAUCUACUGAAGAAAGCUUUUUUCUUUUUUCUUUUUUGAGAAGAAAGCUUUUACACAACAAUAUGUAAGUGAUUAGUGAUUACUUAAAUGAACCGACUGAUGCUGUCAGCUGGCAUUAUUGAAAUAUAAUAUCACGAUCCCCAAAUUUAUGCAUCUCAUCCUGACAUGGUAAUCCUUCUUCAACAAUAAAAGAAACUAAUAUGAAUAUUAUCUUUCUUCAUCCUUAAGGUCACUCACCGCUCCGGGGAAAGUUCCGGGAAGAACACCAGCUCCAGCAGAAGCAAAAUUGACCCCAUCUGUAAAGUUAUGCGCACCAGGUUGCAGAUAUGGUGGUGGCAUAGGAAGCUUUGCAAACUGAGCUGCAGCCAGUAAAAAUAGAAAACCAAUUAACAAACUAUCUAAUUAACAUCUUGAUUAUGUUCGACAUACAUGACAUUCAUGUUAGUAACUGAAAUUAACUGAUUUUUCUUACCAAUAAAAUCGGGUACAAUGCGACCAUCGGAAACUCUACCGGUGGCGUGCUUGAAGUAGGUUUCACCGUACGGCAGCCUAGUUGGUCCUGCUCCCAUGCCGCUACUCCCAUUGAGGUAUUGGUUGUUCCCAGAAUCAAAAAGUGAGUCUCCAAACACAAACAAGGCCGCCUUGUGUUGUGGUUUGGAUUGGUGAUGAGCAGCACAGAAGCAACUAUCUGGGCUGAAACUAAGAACAGUUACAAGUAGUAAAACACAGUAAGCAGGGUAACCAAGACUUGCCAUGACGACGACGAGUUCAGUUAGUUCAGUUUUUUUUGUAGAUGGACGUACUGGUAGCCGUUGGUGACUUGUUGUAUAUAUAGCUGGGUUGGAUCUCUUGGAUCUAUGCUAGGUAUGGAGCAAUUGCGCGUGUAGUAUAAUGUGUUCCCACAUUGAAGGACAAAAUGAAAUUCUCAACGUGGAAAGGAAGACGACGUUGUGUGGUGGGAACGUAGACUUUUGAACGCGUUCAGAUCACUACUUGAGACUCGCCGACGGACGAGAUCGAUGAUAUGGAAUUAGUGGAUCUUGAAUCAAAGCAUGUGACUUCUUUUGUUUCAGUUUUUCAUAGCGAUCCCAUGUGAUGUACCUAGGUCGGUGAGUGUUUGAAAAGAAAUUUAUUUGGGUUUAUAUAUGCUAAAAUUUUCAAUUGUUUGGUCGAACAAGUUUAGUUGUUUAGUUGAAAAUUACGACAGUACGUAGAUUAAAACGUUUUGAUAAAAACCGAACUAACAUAGAAAUUUCCUUGCAAUAGCCAAGUAAUGAGAUGAAAUUAGAUCAAUUCGAUCCCCUCUGAUGAAAAAGAACCAAAAGGUAGCAUAGUUCUCAGAUUUUUCUCGUUUUAGCAUCUAACUUUUAUACACAUGCAUGCAGCCUUAUCAAAAUGGUUUUCUGACUGUAUAUUUCUAUGCAAGAAUGUGUCCAUCUCUUCUUUUGGUAUCUUUCCAAUUUGUGGCUCUAUUCAACUUCCUAAUAUUUAGACUCAUUUCCCAUCCAUGGGAACAAAAAACUUAGAUACAUUAAAGGCUUUGAGAGAGUGGGAUCCAGUUUUGCCAACUGAUGUCUCUCUCUCUUUCUCUUUUUUGAUGACCAUCAGUUUUGCUGGUUGGCAAAACUGGAUCCGAGAGAGUGAGGGAGAUCGGAGAAUCUUCUGUCCCCAUUUUUCCUGUCUCCUUCCCUGUUUUCCAUUAAAAUUUCGACAUCGGUCAUCCACAUCAUCAACAUUAACAUCCACUUAACAGAGUUAAAGAACAAUUAUUUUUCCAGAAUUAAAACCAAAUUCUUUCCUGAAAAAAAAAAAUGCAAUCCCCCGAGUCCAGAUCUGCAGUGCAGAUCAAAUUGAACUGAAGGGUUCUUCAAACGAAAGGCUGUGGAAACGAAGGAAUCCCACUUGCUGAUGAGAAUGAGAGGAUGAAUCACGCAUCCUUCCACUUCCAGAAAAGGACAAAAACAACAAUUUAUUUGAAUUACAUAUGAUCGAUUAAGGGAUUUCAAGAUCAAGAUUUUUGAUAUGGAGAAUGAACCAAAAACUUGAAAAUCAUGGACCCAUUUUGAUAAACCAAAAUCAUAGUAAAUAAAUAAAUAACACAAGAACACAGAGAAUUGUUUACUACAGUGUAAACCUCUUUAGAGGAAAAAUCACUACGAGACCUUAUAGUAGUCCACACUUAAAACAACUUUACUAAGAAUAGAUAUAGAUUACACAAUCAUUCAAGUAGUGACAUACACCAUUGUCACUUUACAGGUAUUACAAACCAACUUGAUUUUCCAGAUUAUAAUCCUAUACUAAUUCUUGACUUCGUUGUUUUGAACUUCAACAUAUAAUCAAUCCAUCUGCAACAAACUUCAUACACUGAUCUGGAUCAUCAUAUAUAAGAGUUUAAAGGUACUAGAACGUGAAGCAGGGAUUGAAACAGAGGAAAAAUCAACUGACAGAAAAUUAACAUAGAACACCAGAUUUUUUACGCUAUGUAAAAACCUCAAAAUAGAGGAAAAAUCACAGCGGAGCACAAGCUCAGAAAACGAACUCAACUAGAUGAAUUUGUGUAGAGUCUUACAACCUCUUUGUAAACCCUAUACUAUUACAAAUCCCUAUCUCUAGGCAGAACGUCUUCUUCUUCUUUCUUCAAUGAUCUUCUCUCACACACAAGAGAAUCACAAUCACACAUAAACAAGUCCAACUCAACAAUGAACAGUUGAACUUGUAUAUUCAGAUGAGUAGCGGAAUAAACACAAUUUCCUCUCAAACGCCAAGCGUGCAGAGAUACCUAGUCCAUAUGACUUGCGCCUCUUUUAUAUAUGUCUCCAAUAUGUUUGCGCACACACACUCCUAGUUAUCCCUGAUGCAGCCCUAUUAGAUUCCAAAUAGGAAAAUCGGUAAGACUCAAAUCAUAGGAUAAUAACAAAAGAUAUUAUUAAAAUGCUAGCAUAAAAGUUAUCCCAUCAGAGAAGGAUUUCUUCCUCACGCAGCUAGCAUAUGAGACCUAUUCAAAAUAGAUCUUCUUGCCUUUAUUUGAUUCCACAACCAUAUCACAUAUUGAGAUCCUAACCAAGUUAGGAUUCAAUUACUUCCACGGAAAUAUCACAUACAAAUAACUUAUUCCAAUUAUAAUAAUAACACAUGUACGUAUGCAUAUCACAAUUAAGAUCAAUAACAUAAGUCAAGAUCUCAUUGCCAUGCACUAAAACGAUAUGAUAAUCCAAAGAUCAUAUAACCUAAUCAAUAUAGGAUUCUUUCCUUUCAACUAAAGAUCAACUAAUCAUAUAUAUAAUGAAUACAAAUCCUAACUAAUUUAGGAUUUUGUCUUCAUGAUUCACACGCACCAAAAAAGACUAGUAUCACCUGUAUUAAUAUUUCAUUCAACAAAGAGAGAUAUAACAAUAAAGUCCAAUUUAUUUUGAUAUAGGAAUGCCAACUAAAACAUAUACCAAUAGAGUUAGAUGAAAUGAUAUGAGACAAGAAACAUGAAAAGCUUUAACCAAAAAGGUGGGGCAUGCAAUGCAGCCACAAAACAAAGAAACCAAUGAAACCCUAAUAAAAUAAAAACCGUGAUCUCUUGAAGGCUAUAGCAAGCAUAUAUAUAUAUAUAGGAGUAAGAACUCCCCCUCAAUCAAAUCUCCGAUAGAAAUCUGAUUUGAGUUGAGUAAGGAAACUUGUUUUAAAACCUAUUCCAAAAUACCAAUUUGUAUUCUAAUUAAACAACUUUGAAAGCAAAAUCAUUUUGAGAAAAAUAAAUCUGAAUUAAAAACAAAUUCCCUUAAAAGAAGAUGACACAAAAUAACAAUACCUCUUAUUACCUCAAGUCUAUUGAAGUUAGCAGGAGCGAUCGACUCCCCCUGCAAAUAUGCUUCUCCUCGUACAGCUAGGAGAACCAGUUUGUUUCCUUCGGUUUGAUGUAAAUGCCAUAUACUUACAGACCAAGAUCACACUCUUAAUCUUAGAACCUACUCAUCACCCCAUAUCAAAAUCUUAUUCAUGAAUCCAGAACUUACUCAAAAACCCAAAUCAAAAUGAUCCUACUCAUGAACCCAAUCACAAUAAGAUCAAACCAAUCUUACCCAUGAAUCCAAUCAUAAUCAGAUCAAAAAUUACCCACACGGGGCGAAAUUAAGAUAAGAAAUUCAAUUCCACAAAGGAAAAGUGGAACUCUGUUACAGACAAAAUUGAAUUGAAAGUUUAAACCCAUAACCAAUUUAAUUCCUAAAGAAGAUAAACAAUUUCACGUUUACCAAAUAGAACCCCAACCAAACCUUGUGGCGUGCAUUCAACAAUGAGAAGACAGGUCUCGAGCUCGUACUGCAACAGAGUCAGAGAUGCAUUAGAGCUUUGAGUCGACUGUUAUUUUCAUUGGUUUUUUAUUUAGUAAAUUACAAUAAAGUUACUAACCAAAUUUCAGUUUACAAAUACAUCAUUUACACAAUAUCUUACACAUUUAAGGACAAAUAUUAACAAAUUAGGACAAAUUAAUAUCCACAUGCCAUCUGUCACAAAAAUUUUACCAUAAUACCUUUCACUACAUAUCAACUGCUACUGUCGACGAUAACAUAGUAGCACACUGCCGAGUAGCACAGUAGCACAUUGGGUGCUACUAUCAAGUAGCACAUUGGGUGCUACUAUCAAGUAGCACAGUAGCACCCGAUAAAAAGGUGUUAUUUUAGGCAAUUCUUCGGAAUCAAACAAAGCUGCUAAUGUUGCGAUAUGAGACCUUUAUAAAGCUGCUACUGUUGUUAUUAGAAACUUUCUGCUACUGACGACGAAAUGGUUAUUACUACCGCAAAUCUAACUGCUAAUGUCAACUUCUACUACCAAUCUGCCUGCUACUGCCUACUAUUGAUAGAAAAGUGUGCUACUGUCGAUAGGGCAGUGUGCUACUACCGGUGCUAUAUUGCAAUUUUUUUCGGCAUUUCUUCGGAACCAAACAAAGCUGUUACUGUCGAUUAAAGAAUAUGCUACUGUCAACUCUAAAGCUGCUACUAUUGACUCGAAAGCUCCUAUUUCCCAUACAUAAUUAUACUAACCGAGCCACAAUCCUAAUAAAUCACCGAUGACAACUACAAAUUCAAAGCUUUUAGCAACAGAUUCAAUUUCCUCUUUAACAAUCGUGAUUUAGAGUAAUAAGAGAUUUGUUCAAAAUAAGGAAAAACAAAAACAAAAAAAAAACAAAAGAAAAUUGAAAAAUGUCACAAGCACAGUAGCUUACCUUAUAAGCCUAAAGAUGAGAGAAUGAGAUUGUCGUCGUAGUCUUCAAAUCACAAACCAACUACCACUAAUUAAAGCCAAAACAAAUCAAAGCAAGUUGCUCUGAGCUUCAUCUUUGCACAGUAGCAAUCCCACCCCACCACUCCCAGCAAACCCAAACAUAAUUAAUGGAAUCGAAUUGGUGACCAUGCCUUUUCCUGGGAAGAGAACAACGACAAUGCGGCUCUUGCGGUGGCGAUGUCGACAUGUCGUACGCGGGGCUUAUGAGGGCGUCGUUGGUCGUGACGGAGAGAGAGGAGGAGUGGUAGAGAUUUUAUCGGUGAGAGAUCGAGAUGAGUCGUCGUCGCCUCUCGGUGAGAGAUAGAUAUCGAGAUGAGUCAUGAUUCGAGGGAUGGGAGCAACAACGACUUCAUUCACGUCGUCAUCGGAGAUGAGAUCCGAGAGUCGGAGUCGGAGGUCGGAGGUCGGAGGCCAUGGGUUCCGGGCGCAGUCGUCGAGACGGCUACUGUCGUUCUAACGGUUGGAGAGAGAGAGAGAGAGAGAGAGAGAGAGAGAGAGAGAGAGAGAGAGAGAGAGAGAGAGAGAGAGAGAGAGAGAGAGAGAGAGUAG
rnacentral:lncRNA from 1 species